rnacentral:lncRNA from 1 species
GGCUUGAUCCACCUCAAUUCCCUUGGAGGAAAUCUUGUGUCCUAAGACAAUUCCUUCUUUUACCAUAAAAUGACAUUUCUCCCAAUUCAGUACAAGAUUUGCUUCCUCGCAUCUCUGCAAAAUCAAUUCCAAAUUAUGAAGACACUGAUCAAAAGAUGAACCAUACACAGAAAAAUCAUCCAUAAAUAUCUCCAUAAUUUUCUCAAUAUAAUCAGAAAAAAUAGCCAUCAUGCAUCGUUGAAAAGUUGCGGGAGCAUUGCAUAACCCAAAUGGCAUUCUUCUAAAGGCAAAAGUGCCAUAAGGACAUGUAAAUGUGGUCUUCUCUUGAUCCUCUGGAGUUAUAGCUAUUUGAUUAUAUCCUGAAAAACCAUCAAGAAAACAGUAAAAUUCAUAUCCAGCUAUACGCUCCAAUAAUUGAUCAAGAAAUGGUAAGGGAAAAUGAUAUUUUCUUGUUACCGUAUUUAACUUACGAUAAUCAAUACACACUCUCCACCCUACCACAAGUCUAGAUGGAAUUAAUUCAUCAUUUUUACCCACGAUUGUAGUCAUUCCAUCCUUCUUUGGUACCACAUGAAUUGGACUAAUCCAAACACUAUCGGAGAUAGGAAAAACUAUACCUGCGUCAAGCCAUUCAAGAAUUUCAUUUCUUACCACCUCUUUCAUGUUUGGAUUGAGUCUUCUUUGUGUUUCCACCACUGGUUUGCAAUUGUCCUCCAAUAAAAUUCGAUGCAUGCAUAUAGAAGGACUUAUACCUUUAAUGUCUGAAAUUGUCCAUCCAAUUGCCUUCUUACACCUUCUUAGAACUCUUAACAACUUUGCACACUGUUCAUCAUCAAGGUCAGCACUAACAAUUACAGGUAAAGUUUUAUUUUCUCCAAGAAAUUCAUACCUUAGAUGAGUCGGAAGUGGUUUGAGCUCUAACCUUGGAGGUUCAAUUUCUGAAGGUUGUGAAAACCCUUUUCCUUGGCCAAGACUUUCAUACAAAUUACCCCUUUUAUAAGGUGCUUGAAAAUCCAAGUACUUGGCCAAUUCUUCAAUUUCUUCACAAACAUCUUCUUGCUUACCUAAACUCAUUAAACAAUGCUCAAGAGGAUCUAAGUCAAGGUUGACUUGACUCAUCUCUUGGGUUAGUUUAUCAAUUGUGCCAAUAGAAUAAGCAUGAUUGGUAAAAGAAGGGUAUUUUUCCAUUUCAUUCAAAUUAAAUUCUACUUCUUCUUCACCUACUUGAAACUUAAGCUUGCCAUUUUUUACAUCAAUAAUAGUACCUGCAGUAGCUAGAAAUGGUCUACCUAGAAUAAUUGGCAUAGAUAUAUAUUCUUCCAUAUCUAAUACCACAAAAUCCACUGGAAUGAUAAAUUUUUGAACUUUUAUCAAUACAUUCUCCAACACUCCCAAUGGAUAUCUAAUAGACCGAUCCACUAGUUGCAAAGUAAUAUUAGUGCGUUUAAGCUCAUGCAAACCCAAUUGUCUAGCCACCGUUAAAGGUAUUAAUGAUACACUAGCACCAAGAUCACACAAUGCCUUAGAAAAAUCAACGCUACCUAUGGUGCAAGGUAUAGAAAAACUCCCCGGAUCCUUCAAUUUCGAUGGUAGCUUAUUUUGAAUAAUUGCACUACAUUCCUCCGUUAAUGCUAUUGUUUCGCAGUCUUCCAACUUUCUUUUUCUAGUCAUGAUUUCCUUGAGAAAUUUCGCAUAAGACGGAAUCUGCAAAAUAGCAUCGGCAAAAGGAAUGUUAAUGUGCAAUUGUUUGAAAAGUUUAACAAAUUUUUCAAAAUCUUUAUCAAACUUAUUUUGCUUUAAUCUUUGUGGAAAUGGAACCGCAGGGGGUAUUGGAAUGGUAGUGGAAGAUGAUGGUUGCUUUUCUCUUGGAUUCUCUCGACUAUUUUCCUCCACAAUCGCCUCUUGGUUCCUCUGCUUUUCUUCUUGUUUUUCAUUCUCAUCUUUCUCAACUUCCUUCACUGGAGGAUCUUCUAAUUGUCUACCACUACGAAGAGUAAUGGCUUUCACAUGCUCCUUAGGAUUGACCUCUGUUUUGCUAGGUAAUUCUCCUUGAUUUCGAUUAUUCAAAGAACUAGCAAUUUGACCAAUUUGGACCUCUACAUUCCUGUACAUUGUAGUGAGUUGGUCCAACCUUCCUUCUACUCGCUCAAAUCUGUCCGAGAUAACUUUUGCAAGCUUUUCCACUGCCAUCUCCCAACCAGGUUUAGUUUCAGCUUGUUGUUGCCUUGAUUGAAAUCCCGGUGGAUUGGUUUGCCUUGGUUGAUUUCCUUGAUCCUUCCAUCCAAAGUUUGGAUGAUUUCUCCACCCCGGAUUGUAAGUAUUCGAGUAGGGGUUAUUUUGAGCAUUACGAUUGUAAUUAUUGACGAAUUGUACCUGUUCAGAAUCAACACACUCAUUAGUAUCAUGUUCACCUCCACAUAUAGAACAACUUGCUACAUGUGCAUUAGAUGAACUUGGACCAACUCCACCUUGUCUACUUAGCAACUUCAUCACAUUAUUCAUUUGAGCACUCAGCAUAUUGAGAGUGUCCAUUUCUAUCAUACCUGCGUGACGUCUUGUAUUACCUCUCUCAUUGGCCCAUUGGUAGUUAUUUGCUGCCAUUUCUUCUAUCAAAUUAUGAGCCUCUUGGGGUGAUUUACCCAUUAAAGCUCCACCUGCAGCUGCAUCGAUCAUAGUUUUAGUAGAAAAAGCUAAACCAUUAUAGAAGGUUUGUAUGAUUAACCAUUCCGGCAGUCCAUGAUGUGGACAUAUCCGAAGUAAAUCUCUAAACCUUUCCCAUGCCUCAUAUAAUGAUUCUCCCUCCAAUUGACUAAAACUAGUGAUAUCCAUUCUAAGAUUAGCAGUCUUUCCUGGUGGAAAAUACUUAUUUAAGAAUGCUCUUGAUAAUUCAUCCCAUCCAGUGAAAGUAUUAGGAGCAUGAGAGUGUAGCCAAAGUUUGGCCUUAUCUCUCAAUGAAAAUGGGAACAAUCUUAGCCUUAUAGCAUCAUCACUAACUCCAUUCAUUUUAAUUGUAUCACAAAUUUCCAAGAAUGUAGCUAAGUGUGUAUUAGGAUCUUCUACUGCAUUACCUCCAAAUUGAGAUUGUUGAACCAUUUGGAUAAGUGAUGGUUUAAUCUCAAAGUUGUUAGCAUUUACCGCAGGCCUUGCUAUGCUCGUUUGAGAUCCUUGUGUUCCCGGUAGAGCACAAUCUCGUAGAACUCGCCUAUUUAGGUCAUUUUCCGCCAUUUCUUCUUCAAAUGGUAAUUCUAUCAAGAUAUCUUCUAUUGGCUGCCAAACCUCUUGUUCCUCUUGGUGCAGUGUAUUCCUCCUUUGUCUCCGCAAUGUUCUUUCAAUUUCCGGAUCAAAAUGUGCAACUUCUCUAUUUGAUCGGUACAUGCACUACAAGUAAAAAUAAGAGAAAUUUUUGUAAUUUUAAUUCAACAACUUGGAUAAAAACAAUGAAGAUGUCUAAAUUAAUAGAGAUGACUAGGCCCUAAUAUUGCCGCUCCCCGGCAACGGCGCCAAAAACUUGACGGGUUUUUACUUUAAGUGCAAGUUUAAUUUCGAUUUUACACCCGUUGGACUGCAAGUAUACAGGUCGCAAUUGUAGUACAAGAUGUGUAUCGGGUCGAUCCCACGAGGAGCAAUUUAAACAAUUACUAAGCCCUUGUUCUCUCUAUUAUUUAGACUUACAAUUAAUUUUGAGCAGAGAAAAUCUAAUGCUGUAAUCUACAAAUCUGAUAUACAAAUCUAGUUUAACAAAUGCUGAAUGCAAAUAGAGAAAUUUCACUUAAUGAAGAUUCUAGGGAUGUAGAUUCCACUUAUGGCAUAAACUACACAAAUAAAUGGAUUUACUUCUUGCUAUUAUUCUUGUUUAACCAGAGAUUUAUUUCCAAGAUUACCAAGUCUCAUUUUCAUGAUGAAAUGGCUUAGAGCAAUAUAGAUUUCCCUAUUUUCAUGGUGAAAUACUACUACUACUCCGUUUUAUUUCAUGAAAUACUCAAUAAUCCACCUAAGUGUAUCUCUAUUUUCAUGAACAUACAACUCAAGCACUACUCAUGUGUUUCAAUUGUUAUUACCAAUUCUCAUUGAAUAAUAACACUAUAAACAUGCUAUUGGUGAUCAAUCAAUAACAAGUAAGAACAGCUACACAAGUAGACAAGUUAAGACAAGAUAUAACAAGUGUAAAUCACAUUCAAUUAGUAUUAUUUAGCCAUAAGUUUCAUCUACUCCCUAGAUGAAGGAGUUUAGCUACUCAUGAAUGAUUUAACAAUCAAACUCACAAGUUUAUUAAUGCAAAACAUCAUAAAGUACAAGUAUAAGAAAGAUAAAAGAAAGCUUAGCCAAUUGAAGGUGAAGCUCUCCAAUUCCUGCUAUGUUCUUGCAAAAUAUGAUUACAAGUGAAACUCUCCAAAAAAUGCUUCUCCAAGUACUCCUCUCUAGAGAGAAAACUUGUUGCAAGAAGGAAAACUAGCUACGUAUGGUCCUCUGGCUUCUCCCCUGAGUUUCUGCAUAAAAGGUGGUAGAAAUUCCAUUCCUCUCUCUUCAUAAUUUCCUCCACUUAGAUUUGUAAAAAAGAAGUCAAUGUUCCUUUUGUCCACACUCAUUUGGUCUUCUCUUUUAUUGCAGAAGCAUGUGCCACCGAUUUCUGUCCCUCAAAAUAGCUGUAAAAGUUGUGAGAAAGGUAAAGAAAAACGGCUGUGCCACUUGCUGAGGAGAGAGACAGAUCCGAGCCUCGGAUCCGAGGAGUGAUAAUGGAUCCGAGCUCGGAUCAUAGGAUCCGAGGCCUUCCCAUGAUGGAUCCGAGGUCGGAUCGUCCUGACCUCGGAUACACUCCGCCAGAAGUACAGACGAGGGGUCGGAUCCCUCUUGUACACACGGAUCCGAGCUCGGAUCCGUGUUAAGCAAUAUUUCCAGUUUUUCACUUCUUCCAUUUUUCUACAUUUUUGCUCCCAAUUUCUUGUGUACUUUGUCCUCUGGAUGACCCUGACAUUUCUUUCAACUUGUGCAUGAAUUUCAUACAUCAAUUACCUUCACAAUUUCACAAAAUUACGCAUUAAUCCAUUCAUUUAUCAAUUUCUUAACUCUUAAAUAAUAUUUAAGCAAUUAUCACCAAAAGAGUUCAAAUAUGGCUUUAAUCUUCUCAAAACAUACCAAAAAUUCAUGCCAAAUUCGUACAAAAUGUACGUUAAAUAUUCACUUAUCAUUAUUCAUGAAUCAACUCAUAGGAGUUCCUCAGGUGAAACCAGUUUCACAAUUUGAGGUAUGCUUCAAUUUCAACUACUUAGCAAGUACCAGAACUGGCCCUGAAGUUCCUAGAAUUGAUUUCAUGCUGCAAAAUCAAAAGUUUAGCAGGACAAUUAUUGGCGAAAAUUUCACGGUACAAGUAGAACAAAAUGUCUCGUGUUUAGCCUUUGUUGAUGGAGGAACUAACCCUACGGCUUCAAUUGUCAUAGCUACACAUCAACUGGAAAAUAAUCUUCUUCAAUUUGGUCUUGCAAAGAACUAGAUUAGGGUUUGCAUCUUCGCUACUUUUGCGUCAUAUUACCUGUGCUAACUUCAAUUUCACCUUGCAUUCGUACCAUUUGUAAAAUGGGAACUGAGAUUGAUGUUUUAUUCUGUUGAAUGUAAUUAUUUUGAAGUAUUUGGAGAUAAAUUAUGUGCUCCUUGAUGCGAAAGAAAAUCUUUUUUUUUUUUUUGCGUGCUGAACUUUAUCGCCGUCUUGUACACACAUGCAAACGGGUGCAACGUUUUAUUGCCAACUGCAAAAUGUAAUUUCAAGAAAGAAUUUUUUUUACUCUACCUUUCAAAAUUGAUUCACAUUAUAACUUAAUCCAUGCUAACAUACAUAGUAUGUAUGUAGCAUUAAUUACAUGCAAUAUUGAUAUGUUUUUAAAUUUUCAUAAAUGGAAUCAAUUGAAAAUUAUAUAUUUUAUCACCAUGCUCAAGUUGAUUGUGAUUAUUUUCUUGCAGAAUUAGCUCAACGGACCGAAUUAACUCUCAUUCAAUGUCUUUACUUGUGUUUUACUACUAAUUAGUACAUAUUGGAUUAUAUUAUUGUUCUCUUUGUUCCAUUGACCUCUUGAACUUUUAGUGUCCAACAACUUGUCGAUUUCUGAGAGAUAGUGUUCUUGAUCUUGAUAUCCCAACUCAUUGCAUUUGAAAUUAUACAAUGCAAGUUAAACUAGUUUUUUUUUUCUAAUAAUUUCAUAUAAAACAUUCCUCGGAAAGAAAAAAUGUAACUGGUGAUGGAACUAUUCUAGACUAUUGCAAUUGCAUUGAGAAAAUUAAACUGACAAGAGAAUUCUCACUUUAACGGGUAUGCACUUCUCACUUUCCUUUGAUAAAGCUGGAAUCCAGUCUGGAAGAACCUGGUGGCAGUACUAGCUAGUGAAGUUUUAUCCCCUCUUUGCUAGAUGCUGCCUCAUCAAGCACUCCCUAGCUGCUUCUACUCUUUCUGUGUCCUCUAUUGCCAUCAUCACACCGCUGUCUUUACCCUUGUUUGCUCUAAGUUUGGUUUAAAGACAACCUACCAAAUAGAAAGAAAAAGAAAACUCAUCCACUGAUUAAGUCAUCAAACUCAGAUAUUUACACGAGAAACAGAAAUCAUCAAGAUUGUCUCCAUUCCCACCCCUUCUUGAAGUUAUCUUCCCCCAUUCUUACCCGCUACAAACUUUAUAGCUAUACAUAUAGAUCAAGCCAUUUUCCUCGUACUACCCAAAAACCACAUCUCAGAAACACUGAUUCUGCUAAUCUUCUCUGAUUCCUCUUAUGGCUUCCCGCUUCAAUUUUAUUCUCGCUCUCUUGACUCUCGUUUCCCUUCUGUUUGCAUCAGCACCUGGAGCUGCUCAAGCUCCCUUCAACCCGAACGCCCUUUACCUCCCAGUGCUGAAAGAUAACGCCACAAGCCUCCUUGUUGUCGAUAUCUACAAAAGAACACCCCUCAAAUCAAUCCCACUUCUUGUAGACCUGAAUGGCAAGUUCUUAUCAGUUAAUUGUGAGCAAGAUUACCUGUCAUCCACCUAUAAUGCUCCAAUUUGUCAUUCAACUCAGUGUUCACAAGUUGAAAAUCAUUUCUGCCACACAUGUUUAUCCCAGGCUAAGCCUGGUUGCCAUAACAACACUUGUGCAGUCUUUGCAACAAACCCUCUCACCAACACAAAUGUAGUUAGUGAACUUGCACAAGAUACACUAGCAAUUAAGACUAUUGAGGCCUCAAAUCCAGGCCCUCUGGCUGUUGUCCGCUACUUCCUCUUUGCAUGCACGCCAUCAUCUUUUCUACAAGGGCCAUUACCGCAAAAUGUACAAGGAAUAGUUGGAUUUGGCCACAAUCAAGUUUCUUUACCAAUGCAACUAGCUUCUCACUUUGGAUUCCCGCAGAAAUUUGCCUUGUGUUUAUCUUCAAAGACCAACCAAAAUGGAGUCAUCUUUUUGGGGAACGCAUCUUAUAGAAUUGGCGACAAGGACAUCUCUCAAGGUAUGCAAUAUACCCCAUUAACUAUUGGAUCACAAGGAGAGUACCAGAUACUAGUGAAAUCAAUCAGGAUAAAUCACAAGCCUGUCCAAUUCAACACACCUUUGCUUUCAAGAACUAGAAGCUUUGGUGGAACAGUGAUCGGCACAACAGAUCCGUACACCGUUCUUGAGCACUCAAUUUUCGAAAACUUCACUCAGUUCUUCACGAAUGAAUUCACUGCCAUUGGUGCAUCUCAGGUGGAUCCAGUAUCACCUUUUGGAGUAUGCUUCAAUAAAUUGCCUCCUCCGGUUCCAAAAGUCGAUAUAGCUGCUCCUAUCAUCGACUUUGUGAUGGAAAAUCGUGACACUGCCUGGAGUAUAUUCGGUUCAAAUUCCAUAGUCAAAGCAAGGCCUGGAAUUUGGUGCUUAGCAUUCGUUGAUGGAGGAUAUAAGCCCAGAGCUCCAAUUGUCUUGGGUGCAUAUCAGUUGGAGGAUCACAUAUUUGAGUUUGAUCUGGCUAGUUCCCAGUUGGGAUUUAGGGUGACCCUAAAGGCUGAUUACAAUACCUGUGAUCAAUUCAACUUCAAUCCUACACCAUAAGUUGGCGAAUGACCUGAAUGAUUUGAUCACUUUGCCAUGGAUAUAUGUACCUUGUUGGUUUAUGUUUGUGUCGGCUUUGUAGUUUUUGUUUUGUGCUGUGUGAUAUUAGCUUUUUUCGGUUUCAUAAUUGUGCCAAUGAAUUUUUUUUUAAGUGAGAGAUCUUAAACAAAGAAUCUUCCAUUUACUAUCCCUUCUACCUUACCACUUAAUUCAAACUUCUCCCAAACUUGUUAUGGUUACCUAGCUAUGAAUAUGUAUUCCUCUUUCUUUUUUUUUUCUUCUCCUGAUUACUUUUGCUAAAUUUUGUCACUAUGACUUAUUUGGGGUAACAGCCAUUAUGAUUUAUGACUGAUUGGAGGGCUGUACAAGACCCGAUAUUGUAUUGCCUAAUGCCUACCAAAUCUAGAAGUAAACUAAUUCCUGUUACUUUAGAAGAACAAUUUUGCCCUUUUUUUUGUGUCAAAAGGGUAACAAUACUAACCUAAACCUGGGCCUAACUUGGCCAUGAAGAAUGGAGGCCGAAAAAACUUGCCUCCCGAAUAUUUUCCCUACCCAAAUUGGGGGAACAUGCAAUAUACUAUACCUUUUGCAUUUUAUGCUUCAAUAAGUACUAGUGCCUUGGAAAAAAUUUGGCUUAUUUGGAUAAAGUAUUGAUUUUUUAUUUGUGCAAAGAUUACCAGAUAUUAUUGAGCUCAAAUUGCUUUUUUUUCCCCCUUAAAUUCUAUUUAAUAUCAUGGUACAAAAGAGUUAAUUUCUUGAAGCUUUAGAAAUUUUCUAAGUCAUUAAAUUUUCUUCGUCAUUGAUAUUCUUUGCUCAGACCAAUGACGUGAAAAUCAUUAAUAAUAACUCAAUUUAGUUAGCAGCUACAUUAGCUAAUUUUUAAUAGUUAAAAAAGCAAACUAAACCAGUUUAUCAUUAUAAUAAAAUAGUGCUUUCCACUUAUUGAUUAACGUACUUGCAUAGUGAUUAAGAUCUAUAACCAUUCAAGCAAAUUAUAUUGGCUAUGCAUGCCACUGUCCAACCGGGUGCUUUAUUAUUUCCCCUGAAACCUCACUGCAAUAGGGCUUCUCACAAGGUGCUCCCCAUCACUCCAAUCCAGUGACCCAAAUCCAGACUCAAUGUCACCAAUUUCCUCCAAUGCAGCCCUUGUGAACAAGACCUCAUAGGACAAGGCAUCCUUUCCUUUGCAGAAUAUCAGCUUACUCGGUGACACCCUCACCUCCACAAAUUGAGGAGCAUUUACUUUCACAUCAUACACAACAUCUGAUUUGCUCCCCACAUUCUUGACCACCCGUUUAUGCUUAGCCGCCUUUUUACUACGACUAAAAGCCACAGAAAAAGAAGGAUAAUUCAAGUCUCCAACACUCUCCAAUUUCUGUGCAUUGCAGUCCACGGGAACCGAUCUAUCCUUGACAAACACUGCUAUUUUAGUUGGACUAUACCCAAUCGUACACAAGAACCCCACGUAAUCACUAGUUCCCAUAUCGUAUACCAAGCCUGGAUUAAGCGCCUUGUUAGGAUCGACGUGACCUGACCCAUGUCCAAAUGGGAUGGAUUCUUUGCCAGUGGAAAUGUCCAUAAUAUUGUUGCCCCUGUUGUCAACGUUAUAAGCAGUCGUCAUAAGAGCUGAUUUUAUAGCUGCCGGAGUCCAAUCAGGAAAGGCUUUGUGAAGCAAAGCUGCUAAUCCACUUACAUGAGGACAGGCCAUGGACGUACCGGACAUAAUGUUGAAAUUCACUCUUCUCUUAUCAAUGUUUUCCAAACUGGAUGGUCCGGCCAGCCUGGUCCAACCGGCUAAGAUAUUCACGCCGGGAGCGAUAACAUCUGGUUUUAAGAUCUCCGGUGUAAUAAGAUUUGGACCACGGCUCGAGAAUGCCGCCACCCGUGGCGCUGAUAUUGAGUUCCCAGUCACCGUUCCUCUAAAGAUAAUUGUAGCUGUCGCAGAGGAGGGAUGGGACUUGAGGUAGCUCUUAAUUUUGUCGCCGGCUGUUAUCCCCACCAUCGUAGCUGGAAUUAGAUGGGCUUCCGCCCUGAGGUCUUCGCCGGAAAUGGCAUAUUCCUCAGUGUCUGCAUGUAUCAUGCCAACACCACCGUCGUGUUUGACUGCCCAUCCUUUGGCAGCUCCGGUAAUAUUACCUCCACGGUCACAUACCACAAUCUUUCCCUUGACUUUGGAAGGAUCGAGUUUUCCUUGGAAACAGAAUUUGCUUCCGCAAUUUGCGGCGUAAACAAGUGGGAUCUGAGCAUCCGACAGAGGGAGACCGGAGUACAGCGACACGCCACUGAAAAUUCUUCCAUCUCCGAGAACAACGUCAGCUGGAAACUCCCGGUCGAUUGUGGAUGCACCGACAGUAAGAAUCCAGGGUGCAAUAUUGUCGGCAGUGUAGGGGAGCGGGCCAGAAUUUCCCGCUGAGCAAGAAGUCACAAUCCCUUGCUCCAUAGCGCUAAAUGCACCGAUUGCAAUGGGAUCAAGGUCGUACUCCCUAGCUUGUUUGCCACCCACUGACAGUGAAAUCACGUGAACUCCAUCGGAAAUGGCUUGAUUGAUGCCUGCUAAUAUAUCGGAGUCAAAGCAUCCACCUCUCCAACAGACUUUGUAGGCGGCAAUCCUGGCUUUAAUCGCCAUUCCUCUCGCUUCCCCUUUAGCAUAUUCAUAGAGGCCAGCAUUUUUAACGGCCGAACCAGCUGCCGUAGAAGCAGUAUGCGUUCCAUGACCUUUGAAGUCCCAAGGCAACUUCGAUUCUCCCAUUUGUUCUAUGGACUUUUUCAUUUGUUCCUCAUAUUCUCUGUAAUAAGCUCUGGCGCCAAUAAGCUUUUUGUUACAUGAAGUUGAGGGAAAGUCCGAAGUCGUUUCACAUUCUCCUUUCCAGUAUGAAGGAACAGGAGGAAGGUUUUCGUCAGAGAAGCUCGGAUGAUCAGGCCAACUGCCAGUGUCGAGGACACCGAUGACGACGUCCUUGGCGUAAUUGGAGACUGGCCAGAGGCCAAAGAAGUCAGCGAGGCCCAUGAAGUAGGGGGUGCGGGUAGUUUGAAGCUGGCGGAUGCUGUCUGGGACGACAGAUAGAAUGCCAUGGUGACGGCGGAGCUCUGCGGCCUGGGAGAUGUUAAGGCGGGCAGCAAAGCCAUGGAUAGCGUGUUCAUAGGUAUACAGGAGUUUAGUUGUGGGCUGUUGACGAUCGGUGGAGAGAGGAGAGAGGGAGCUGAGCAUGGAGGAGUACCAGUCGUGGUGGGUGGUGAAAAGGGAUGGCUUUUGAGACUUGGAGAGGUGGACGAUGUAGGUUUCAUGACUGUCAUCGGAUGAGGCAGCAAUCAUGCAUGCAUGGAGGCAAAAGAGGAAGAAGAUAAGGAGAAAUAAGGAAGUUAGAGAAGAGAAGGCAGCCAUUAAUUGGAGACAAGAUGCAGGGUAAGAAAAUAUUGCAUGCAAAGGGGGUUUGGUUGUUGAACAUAAUUCUGGGGAUGGGGAUGAUGAUGAUGAUGAUAUAUACACAAGAAGCUUGGACGGUUGGAGCAGAUGGCUGCGUAUCUUUGUGAUAGAUUGGCCUUUGUGUUGUUGGGGCACGUCCUAAAACCUUACUGGUCAGCAAUGGAGCUAAAACGCUAAGGUCAGGGUCAAUCUCCGACAGCAUAUAGAAUGCAGUAAUAAUGAAUUAAAUUAAAUGAAAGUUUAUACAAUAAACAUAUUUUUUUUCCAAUGUAAAAUAUGUUUUUAAGUUAAAAUUAUACUCAAAUUUAACAAUAAAAAUCACUCUACGAAUUUGUGUUUAGAAACAUGGACGAAUUUGUGUUUAGAAACAUGGACAGAAUUUAUUUUAUUAUUAAUUCCUCCUAUUACCUGACUUGAUGUGGAUUAAUUGCGGGAUUCUACUCACUUUUAGUAUUUUACAUUUAUUUCAGGAAGUAGAACGAAAAUAUAAUAACAGGUACUAAUUUGGCAGGAAAACAGUCCAGAUGAUAGAGUUUAUCGCAUUUUUUAAACAACAAAAUGAGAGCCCUUGUUGGACAAAUUGGGCCGAAGUCUUCUUUUCGGAGUGAGCCGCCGCACAUCAAAAGGGAGGCAGAGGAUAAACACAAAGAGAGCAGCAGAGGACUAGGGGGAUCUGGCCUUUCUUCUUAGUUUUUCGUCUUUAGUUUAGGCUAAAUUUUAUUGACUUUUCCCUUGGACUUACUUUUUGGCUUCGGGGACUUACGAAUGUCAGGACCCCUAAGCCAUUCUUGGCUUUUGACUUUUCUUCAUCUUUGAACUUUUAGUAUUUACGUUUCUUUCUUCGUAUGUCAUUCGAAGUGAAACAGAGGGCUACCUCUUGUAACUUUGCUAUCUUUUCUGGAUUGGAGCGAAUUGCGUUUCCCAAUUUUUGUGACAAUGGCCGCGACUCUUGUUUCAACUUCCUGUGGACUUAGUUCAUCAAAUAUGAACUAAUUUCACCAGUCUAGCUAAGGAAUAACGGAUGCUUUGGGUCGCUUAAAAUUGUGAGAUCGAUUUAAUUUUAUCUUUUUCUUUUAUUUAUUAGUAUUCACAUAUUCCUUAUUUGCAGUGCUUGUGAUUAUUUAAUUAAUUGAUUGUCUUGGAUCCAGAUAAUUAGUUGAUUGGGUAACCUAUUGUCAAUUAGGGCAUUAAAUCCGUAAUUGUUUAAUUGCUCUAAAAUAGUGACAACUGGCAUGAUUAGGUUUGUGUCAGGGGAAUACGCGAGGUAAUCUAAAAUAACCCUGGUAGUGCGUUAUUUGGUUAGAAUAGGGCUCCUCUAAUACGUAAGGCAAUUGGGGAAUUAAAUUCUACGGGCGUACCUAGGAUUAUUUCUCAAUUAGAGCAGUGAUUAACGGGCGUACCUUGAUCACCGACGCAGUAAGGAGGGGUUGACUGUCAUCGCUUGUUUGGCAGUUAUAACCUAUUUAUUGAUAAAUAAUUGAAAUUGCCUUUGUUUCAAGGAUCAAUUAGGUGAACCAUUACUGAAAUUAUUUCUUGGCUAGAUCCUUAAUUAUCACUCAUUUGAUUUUAGUAAUUUGUUAUUUAAUUUUUAGUAGUUUCUUAGAUUUUAUUUGAAUUUAUUUGAUUGUCACCUUCUGCACAAAAACACUCUCUUGUCACUGUGAAUUUGGAAAGGAACAAGUACUCCCAAUCCCUGUGGAUUCGACCCUGCUUACCACUAUCUACAGAAAUUUACUUUUAGUUUGAACAGGUUUUAUUAUUGCACAGGUUUCGACAACCUGUCAAUUUUUGGCGCCGUUACCGGGGACUGGCGUUAUUAUUUGUUUCUUUUUAAAUUCAUUUUUGAUCUAACUUUCUGGUGCUUUUCAAGUGUAUGCCUCGUUCUUCUCGUACAGGUGAAUUAAUUUUCGACCCCGAGGUAGAGAAGACUGAGCGUAGGACAAGAAAAGAGACCAGACAGCUCCUAGAGGAGCACUCCAGUGCUACAUCUCAGAGACCUGAGCAAGAAGUUGAACCAACAGAUUCGUUUGGAGACACUUCGAGUGACUCUGACCAGGAGGAAGGAACCAUGGCUAAUGCACGAACAUUGAGGGAGUUGGCUGCUCCUGAUUUAAAUCAGCAGCCUUUAUGCAUUACCUUCCCCACCCUAAAUGAUAACACUCCAUUUGAACUAAAAUCUGGACUGAUUCAUCUUUUACCAUCUUUUCAUGGUUUACCAGGUGAAGAGCCGUAUAAACAUCUGCAGGAGUUUGACGUCGUGUGCAAUAGUAUGAAACCCCCAAGAAUCACAGAAGAGCAAAUAAAAAUGAGGGCAUUUCCCUUUUCCUUGAAGGAUUUUGCAAAGGACUGGCUGUACUACCUACCACCAGAUAGCAUCACCAUGUGGAACCAGUUGAAGAAAAAAUUUUUAGAUAAAUAUUUUUCUGCGUCCAGAGCUGCGAGUCUAAGGAAAGAAAUUUGCGGGAUCAAGCAACACCCAGGCGAGUCACUCUAUGAGUAUUGGGAACGGUACAAGAAGUUGUGCAACAAGUGCUCCCAGCACCAAAUAAGUGAGCAGUUGCUCAUACAAUAUUUUUAUGAUGGGCUUCUUUUCAGAGACAGGAGCAUAAUUGAUGCUACAAGUGGAGGGGCACUGGAGAACAAAAUCCCUCGGGAAGCAAGGGAGUUAAUAGAGGGGAUGACAGAGAAUUCACAACAAUUCGGUACGAGAGAGGAUGUUCCACUACGCAAGGUGAAUGAGGUAGAGACAUCCUCUAUCUAGCAGCAGCUAACUUAGUUGACCUCGUUUGUUAGGCAACUGGCUGUAGGAAAUGCAUUUCAGGCCAAGGUGUGCGGGAUUUGCACUGAUAUGAUUCAUUCUACAGACAUGUGUCCAAUGAUGCAAGAGGAGGGUGCAGAGCAAGUGAACAUGACAGGUCACGUGCCCGCGCCAUGAAGGCACUAUGACCCCUAUUCAAGUACCUACAAUCCUGAUUGGAGGGACCACCCUAACCUCAGUUAUGGAGGGAACAGGCAGUCUAAUUUCGUGCCUAAUAGACAACAAGGGUACCAGCAGCAGUACCAACCCCGACCACCUCCGCUACCGAGCUCUAGUCUAUCUUUGGAGGAGAUGAUGAAACAACUGAUAGCAAUCAUCUCGCAAAAUCAGCAAAGGACGGACUCCGAAAUGCAGGACAUAAGAAAUCAGAUAAGUCAAAUGGCCCCAAAAAUCAACCGUUUGGAGUCCCAAGUAAAUGGAAGAUUGUCAUCCCAACCUGAACUGAACCUGAAGAACGUAAGUGCAAUGACUUUAAGGAGCGGGAAAGAAAUUUAGGGGCCCGAACUCGUGACUCCAAAGGAUAAGGACGAAGAGAAGAUUGAGAAAGAACUUGAGGCAGAGAAUACAAGAACCAAAAAUUCAACGGUACUCCCUGACCCGAUUAUAGAUGUUAAAACUAAUCCCCCUCCAUUUCCUUGCAGGUUGGAGAAACCGAAGAAGCAGGACAAAGAGAAGGAGAUCCUAGAGGUGUUCCGCAAGGUAGAGGUCAAUAUCCCCUUAUUAGAUGCCAUCAAACAAGUGUCGAAGUAUGCAAAAUUUUUGAGGGAUCUAUGUGUCAACCGAAAGCGGCUGAGGGGAGACGAAAGGAUCAUUGUUGGGGAGAAUGUGUCAGCAGUUCUCCAAAGGAAGCUUCCACCAAAGUGCGGGGAUCCAGGUAGGUUUAUUGUCCCAUGUAAGAUAGGUAAUACUCUAAUUAGGAAUACCCUGCUAGACUUAGGAACAUCGAUCAACGUAAUGCCUAAAUCUAUGUAUACUUCUCUGAACUUCGGUCCAUUAAAAGAAAUCGAAAUAAUAAUUCAAUUAGCUGACCGAACAAAUGCAUACCCUGAUGGGUUGAUAGAAGAUGUGCUGGUUAAAGUUAAUGAAUUGAUAUUCCCGGAUGACUUUUAUGUACUUGACAUGGAUGAUGAUCAUUCCUCUGACCCCUUACCUUUGCUACUAGGUAGACCCUUUUUGAGCACAGCACAGACAAAAAUUGACGUUAAUAAGGGUACAUUGUCCAUGGAAUUUGAUGGAGAACUAGUCCACUUUAAUAUUUUCGAUACAAUGGAACAUCCUGUUAACUCUCACCCUGUAUUUGCUAUUCAUGCUAUUAAUCCCUCUGUGCAAGAAUUUUCUUCGUUUGCUUGUAGGAAUAAAUUCAAAUUUACUGAGAACAAGUAUAAGGGGAUGGAAGCACUGUAUGAGGUGAAAAACAGUAGAAAAUUAAGAAAGGAGGCUGCCCUCAAAGGCUAUUUGGAUCCUGGAGGAGGACCACCGAUUUCCAGAAAAACUGAGUUACACCCAGAUUGAAGAGUGGUGUUCAAUGUCAAGCCAAAAACGUUAAAGAAAGGCGCUCAUUGGGAGGCAACCCAAUUAUUUCUUUUAAUUGUUUGUUUCGAUUUCGUGUGAUAGUUUAAAUAUGUUUUCCUUGAAUUUGACUGAUUUCGGGUUUCAAUUUUCGUUUUUGAUCAUUUGUAGGUGUUUUUCUGUCAUGACGUGCCCACGUCAUGACGUCUGGAGAGCUCACGGUCAGAAUCGUCAGAAGAGCUCAAGGUCAGAGAGCUCCCCCGUUCUCAUUCCAUGCCUUCGUCAGAGAGUUAAAGGUUGAGUUUUGCAAUUGUUAUAGGAAAAAAAUUUAAUUAAAAAAAUUUAAUUUAAAAUUAAAAAAAAAUUUCCUUUUCACCGUAGCUUAAAUUUCCAAAAAAAAAAAAAAAUCUCUUUCUUUUUCCUUCUUUUCUUUCUUUUUCUUUCUUUCUUCUUUCUUUCUUCCCCGCUGCCCCUGUUCGCCCUUUCUUUCUUUUCCUCUGCGCACGCCGCCGCUUCCCACUCCCGCCCGCCGCGACGCACGGCUGUCCACGACUCUGCACGAAGGCCACGCGCACGCGGGCCGUUGCACCUCGUCGCCGCUGCGCACUUUGAGCUCCAUCUCCACCCGCGCCAUCAGCCGUCCACCACGCACGCCGCGGCCCAUCACCUCCAUCCCAGCUCCAGCCCCGCCACCACCAGCUCAUGCUCGCCUCUCUCCCGCACGCCGCCGUCGCUUACUCCACCUCACCCGCUGUCCGCGCGGAAGCCGCGACAGUGCCGCCGUCCCUCUCUCUCUGAGCUCCGCCGCCACCCACUCACCUCCAGCUCAUCCACAGCCCCAUCUCAGCGCGCCGCCUCCAUUAGCUCACGAAGCCCAGGUUAAGCUCGCCGCGAUUGUCGUCGCGGCUACUUUCUUCCACCGCAGCCCAGUCCACCAGGGCUCCACUUUUGCCUCCAGCUUGGUCUCCACAGUCGCGCGCAACCCACCUCGCCUGCGCACGUCACCCACUACUGUCCCCUUUCAUUUGGUUGUCGUCCAAGGUGGAGGUAAUUGGAACUUGUCCCCCAAUCUCUUAAUAACUAAUUGGUGCUGCCUGGGUUGCUCAAUAGUUAAUGUUGUUGACAGUUGGAGUUUAUUUUCUCAAUUGGUGAAUUCCACCAGUGGUAUUGGUUGGACUAUUUUCGCUUGGAAUUACUAUUUCUUUUGGGUUGGGUAAAAUUGUGCAAUUAAUUGGCCAACUGGGGCCAUUUGUUGGGACUUUGGGUGAGCUGAAAUACCGCACUUAUUUGUUAAAUUGGGAGGUUUCUAUGCCAUUUACAUUGCUUAUUCCAGUUGGGUGCAUCUGAUGAAUUGCUGGGGUUGCUAAUUGCACUGUUUUGGGGGUUGUUUUGCUGCCUUGGUUGUUGACUGGAUUUAAGUUAAUAGUUUGAAGAAUAUUCUGCCCGUUUGUUUCACUUGGUUGACGUUUUGGGUGGCACGAGGGCACUUGAAUCUACUCGUUGACAUCGGUCCAAUUUAAGUGAUUAGUCGGUGCCAAAUUGGCUGCUGACUUAGGUUGCUAUUUGGGUGACUGUUUGAGUGAGAGCUAAGUGUUUUUAUUGAUUUGUUACUGUCUAAUUUCUGCACUGCUAUUGCUGAUUUUGAGUUCAAACGGUAACUGGCCAACUGGAGCCAUUUGUUGAGAUUUUGGGUGGACAGAGUUUUGCAUUUGUUGGUUGAAUUGAGUUAAGAUGUCUCAGCACUUGGGUGCAUACUUCCGCCACAUCGGUUUUCCUCCACCGUUCCCGCCUAUCCCUUCGUCACUCGAGAGGGAAGUUUCAUUGUUCUCUUCACUUUAAUUACUUUAUUACCUCCAUUGAGGACAAUGUAGGAUUUAGGUGUGGGGGGGAGCAGUUAUGGUAUUAGUUUUUCUAGUUCUUAGUUUUCAGAUAUUUUUCUUUUAUUUUUAGUCUGUUAUUUGUCUAGUUUUCGUUUACUUUUUGUCAUUUAUCUGUCUAGCUCUCCUAUGACUGCCAAGUUUGAUGUUGAAUUGUUGCCUCUAUUUCUGCUAUUGCCAAACUUUAAUAAUAAAAGUGUAUCAAGUCAAUGUGGUUGAGUCCAAAAAUAUCUCUUUGGUGAAUAUCAGUGAUUGUUUUACUCAUAUAAUUUUUGGUUAACUUUCCUAGGCAUAGGGAAUGAUUGUUAGCAUUUUCAUGUGAAUUGGUCCGGUAAUUAACCUUAGUUUUCCAUGUUUGAAAAUGAGACUUGCUAAUGCAAUUUUCUUUUGGGUUUUUGUGUUAUUUUGAGUUUUUGUGUUAUUUGGCUAUGAAUAAGAGUUGAAUGUACUCCGCUAGUCUUUACUACCGAGUAACUGGGGAUCUUCAUCAAAAGUGUCGAUUCUCACGUCAAAAAUUUGUAAUUGCUAUGAGUACGUGGUCACGUGACGAUAGAAACUGAGUAACCGGGCUCUUUCAUCUAACAAAUGUCAGAGUUUGCGUCAAAAGGCUCCAAUGGCUAGCGACUAAGUCUUUUGUUACUAUUGAGAAAAGCAAAAAAAAAAAAAAAAGAGAAUAGUAGAAAAAUGUGAUAAAAAAGUUAAGGUUGUGUUAGUGUAUAAUAAUAGUUAGCUUUAAUGUUGAGAUUUUGGUUAAUAGUUGGACCAUUUGCUGAUAAAUGUAGUGCGUCAUUUCUUUUUCUUAGAUUAGUUAAUCUGAAAUUGGAGGAGUUUGUGGUUUAGAAGCUAACCGGAGUGAUGUUUUUUGGAUUUUGAUAACUGAUGCUUGAUAUAUAUUUUUCUUGAUAUCGUGGCAAUAUGGUAGAUAGAGCAAUAGCCAUUGUCAAAUAUUGGUGUUUGUUUAUUGUUCUUAUGCUUGAGGACAAGCAUAGUUUUGGUGUGGAGGGAAUUGAUAGGUUGCAAUUUUAUCAUUUAUUUUAUUAUUAAUUCCUCCUAUUACCUGACUUGAUGUGGAUUAAUUGCGGGAUUCUACUCACUUUUAGUAUUUUACAUUUAUUUCAGGGAGUAGAACGAAAAUAUAAUAACAGGUACUAAUUUGACAGAAAAAGAGUCCAGAUGAUAGAGCUUGUUCUAGGGGCAUUUUUGGAACAACAAAACGCGAGCCCUUGUUGGGCAAAUUGGGCCGAAGUCUUCUUUUUGGAGUGAGCCGCCGCACAUCAAAAGGGAGGCAGAGGAUAAAAACAAAGAGAGCAGCAGAGGACUAGGGGGAUCUGGCCUUUCUUCUUAGUUUUUCGUCUUUAGCUUAGGCUAAAUUUUAUUGACUUUUCCCUUGGACUUACUUUUUGGCUUUGGGGACUUACGAAUGUCAGGACCCCUAAGCCAUUCUUGGCUUUUGACUUUUCUUCAUCUUUGAACUUUUAGUAUUUACGUUUCUUUCUUCGUAUGUCAUUCGAAGUGAAAUAGAGGGCUACCUCUUGUAACUUUGCUAUCUUUUCUGGAUUGGAGCGAAUUGCGUUUCCCAAUUUUUGUGACAAUGGCCGCGACUCUUGUUUCAACUUCCUGUGGACAUAGUUCAUCAAACAUGAACUAAUUUCACCACUCUAGCUAAGGAACAACGAAUGCUUUGGGUCGCCUAAAAUUGUGAGAUCGAUUUAAUUUUGUCUUUUUCUUUUAUUAAUUAGUAUUCGCAUAUUCCUUAUUUGCAGUAAUUGUGAUUAUUUAAUUAAUUGAUUGUCUUGGAUCCAGAUAAUUAGUUGAUUGGGUAACCUAUUGUCAAUUAGGGCAUUAAAUCCGUAAUUGUUUAAUUGCUCUAAAAUAGUGACAACUGGCAUGAUUAAGUUUGUGUCAGGGGAAUACGCGGGCUAAUCUAAAAUAACCCUGGUAGUGCGUUAUUUGGUUAGAAUAGGGCUCCUCUAAUACGUAAGGCAACUGGGGAAUUAAAUUCUACGGGCGUACCUAGGAUUAUUUCUCAAUUAGAGCAGUGAUUAACGGGCGUACCUUGAUCACCGACACAGUAAGGAGAGGUGGACUGCCAUCGCUUGUUUGGUAGUUAUAACCUAUUUAUUGAUAAAUAAUUGGAAUUGUCUUUGUUUCAAGGAUCAAUUAGGUGAACCAUUGUUGAAAUUAUUCCUUGGCUAGAUCCUUAAUUAUCACUCAUUUGAUUUUAGUAAUUUGUUAUUUAAUUUUUAGUAGUUUCUUAGAUUUUAUUUGAAUUUAUUUGAUUGUCACAUUCUGCACAAAAACACUCUCUUGUCACUGUGAAUUUGGAAACGAACAAGUACUCCCAGUCCCUGUGGAUUCGACCCUGCUUAACACUAUCUACAGAAAUUUACUUUUAGUUUGAGCAGGUUUUAUUAUUGCACAGGCUUCGACAACCUGUCACCAAUCUAUAGUGUAUGUGCGGAAUUAUCCCCAAUCUAUUUUGAAAAUCAAUUUUGGUCCCCAAUCUAUUCAAUUUUACGCUAAAGUGGACAAUUGACGGAAUCUCUCCAAUUUCAAUCAGAACUAAGUCACGUGAGAUCACGUGUCGGCACCUAAAACCCCUUUUUGAAUUUUUUAAUUUCUAAAACACGUUUUUUAAUAUUUUCAGCUUUGUUAAACAAAGACAUGCAAAGGUUAAUCUCACAAUCCAAAUUACUCCUCUUGUUGGCCGCUGCCUUCAAACCCCCAAAACCCACAGCACGAGUAAGAAGCUCAGCUUGGCCUCCAAGUCCAAGUCUCGUUCCUGCCUCCAUUAGUAAUGGAGAUAAUCUGCAAUUAAUGCCAGAGACGGACCUAGUUUAACUCUCCUGCACAAACAACAGGAGCAGCAACAGCAGUACUACUUCAUAAGCAAGCAAGCAAGCAGUCGAGAGAGAAGAGCGGAUGAUAAUAAUUGGAAAUCAAUGGGAUUAUACGGACCAAAUGAUCAAAGGGAUUAUACUGGUAAGUAUAUUCUUUCCCUAUUAGCCAUUCUUCACCGUUGAACUGGAAUGAGCAUUAGUAGUAUAUUAUUGGUAGGUCAUGCUUACGGCUAGAACAGACACUUCAUCGGUGACUAUAGAAUGGUCCUUGUCUCUUUUGCUCAACCAUCCCGAGGUGCUAGAGAAAGCUCGAGCUGAAUUGGAUGCUCAAAUAGGGAUUGAUCGAUUGGUCGACGAACAUGAUCUAUCAAAUCUUCCUUAUCUUCAUAACAUUAUUUUAGAAACACUUCAGUUGUACCCUGCAGUACCAAUGUUAGUGCCACAUGAGUCGUCCGAUGACUAUAAAAUUGGGGGAUACAAUAUUCUGCGAGGCACAAUUUUGCUAGUUAAUGCAUGGGCAGUUCACAGGGACCCAAACGUAUGGGAUGAUCCAACAAGCUUCAAGCUAGAGAGAUUCGAAGGCUUGCAGGUUUAGCCAUCAAAGCUGAUUCCAUUUGGGAUGGGAAGGAGAUCUUGCCCUGGUUCUGGCCUAGCACAGCGGGUGGUGGGUUUGGCCUUGGGAUCUCUAAUUCAGAGUUUUGAUUGGAAAAGAAUUGGCGAGGAGGAAAUUGAUCUGGCUGAAGGGACAGGAGUGUCCAUGCCAAAAGCCAAGCCACUAGAAAAAACGUGUUUUAGAAAUAAAAAAUUGAAAAAGGGGUUUUAGGUGCCGGCACGUGAUCUCACGUGACUUAGUUCUAAUUGAAAUUGAAGAGAUUCCGUCAAUUGUCCACUUUAGCACAAAAUUGAAUAGAUUGGGGACCAAAAUUGAUUUUCGAAAUAGAUUGGGGAUAAUUCCACGCAUACACUAUAGAUUAGGGACCAAAAUUACAAUUCUCCCUUGAUAAUCAUCUUUAAAUUAUGCAAUUAUCAUAUCAAAAGAUGGAGUGCCAUUGAUAAUCAACUUUAAAUUAUCUUUAUCAUAUAUCAUAGAAUAGGAAUAAAAAUUCUUUGGUAAAGGAGGUACUAGAGAUUUUAUAUCUUUGUAUGUGCCUGAAAAAAUUCCUGUUAUCCAAAUUAACAAGAACCAUAGCGGAGGAGCAGAAGAAAAUUAGUCAAUUUGUUCAAUGUAUAGUGAUUGAGUUUGAGCGAAAAAAGAAAAGCUAAAAAAGAAACUAUUCCCUUUUUUACCAAAGUUUUUUUUUAAAAAAAAAUGUGGCAGAGCUUUUAUUUUUCAUUACUUUUCCUCUAUUUCUUCUUUUCCCUUUGUGAAUUCCUAAACAAGCCAUACAACUCUAGUAAGUAAAAAUUUGCAUCAUUCCCAUAAAAUAUAUGGUCAUAUGUAUAAUUUGAAAAAAAAUUUUGGUAUUGUAUACAAAUUAUGAAUGCUUUAAAAAAUCUUAUACUUUGAACUAAUCCUAUAAAAAAAUGUCAUAAACUUUUAUAGUAUAGUACUUCACUAAUCAUACUUCAUUUUGAGGCAAAAUUUUAAUAUUUGUAUAAGGAUUUAUCAUGUCUUUCCUGUUAUAGUACGAAAUAGUAUAUUCAUAGAUAUAAAACCAAUAAGAUGACUAAAGCUUUCGUUAAUUUACUGUCUCCUAUGGAAAAGCAUGAGAAUAAAAGUUGAUGUUAAUGCAGCUUAACAUCUUAAAAUUAUGGUCAAUUCACUUGCAUUUUUAGUUUCAUACCUUUUAGAUGUGUUCUCAUUCUCGGAGUUUCACCAAAUUAUAAUUAAACGUAAAAAAAUUGUAUAGUAUAUAUAUACAUAUGAUCUUCCAUAUUAGCAUUCUUAUCCUGUAUUAUACUUAUUAUACUAAUUAACUAAGGCAAAGAACCUAAAUAGUCUUGGACUUUUUAAAUUUGUAUAUUUUGGCUAUUAAAUGGAUGAUUUAAUCCUUUUGUCAAUUUAAGCUGUUAACACUUAUAUAGAAUGUAAUAAAGUGAUGUAAUUUUGAUCUUCUUCUUACUCCAACCAUGUCCGGUGGCUGCUGCAAAUUCUAACUGCCGAUCAAUGACCAUUGACCACCAUUUGACCUACAAUUGACCAUCACCAUUCUAUUUGUCGACUAUUGACAAAAGUAUGCUCUUAUACUCCAUCUUUGGCGUAGAUUCCAAAUUGAGCUUCAGUUUUUAGUGAAUCUUUCAAAAUAACACUAGAAUUGAAGUCAAAGGUACAAUUUAUUUCACCCUUUUUAAAAUCUUUUUUAGAUCUCAUCUAUCUAGAGUGUGAUUGCAUCAAAACUUCAGAAUCGAAUAUUAGUGGUCAUUCACCGAAGAAAGGUCAUUGACCAGCCACCUGGAGUUGCAACAGCCACCUAAUAUGGUUGGAGAAAUAAAACGAUCAAAACUGCAUCAGUCUUUUGGUGUUUCCUCAGUGUUAGCAGUUUAAAUUGAUGAAAAUGUUAAAAGUAUACACUUUUUGUAGGUUUAGAGAGAGGCCAGUGUCAUAAAAUUAAUACUACCGAUAGUAUAUAUUCAAACAUUGAAGUUUGAGGGCUGUUUAGGUUUAGAAAGCUUGAAAUCUGGCUUUGUUUGAGCAUUUUCCACUUUCUUACGGAGUAGUUUUUGCUAUACUGAGUGGUGUCGGAGAUAAGUAUAUUAUUAGAGUAAAUCUUAUAUACAUCGAUAGUGUAUAUACGAUGAGACACUAUCAUCGUUUAAUUUAUAACAUGUGUGCAAAAGUUAAAUUUCAUAUUCAAAUUUUGCAUAGUUAUCAUCCAUCUAACGCUGACAGUGUAUACAUUGUCAGUGUAGGAAAGAUUAAUCCAUAUUAUUAUACUAAACGAAACAUCAAUACAAGAUUCUAAAACCAAUAGCAGUGUAGAACAUUUUUUUCUUUAUUUUUAUCACUUAAUUCGUAUAUUAUAUUGUUUUCCCAAAUGUUAUAGUUAGUCACAGUUCAUAAUUCUACAUCGUGUUAGGGAUCGAUCUCCUGAUUUAUUUGAGAUAGUAAUCUCCUGUGUAAACUGUAUAGUCCUCGAUCUUUUUAAACCCUCAUUAUUUGCUAAAAACAAAAACUAUGAUUACAAACACGUUCUUCUUAAGUUCGAUUACUUUAAUUAUUCGUGUGGAUGGGCGGGGGCCGCCUACUGUACUUAUCAUUCUGGUGUCAAUCAUUUGGAAAUAUCUUGUUUAUGCCUGUCUUACUCGUAUAUUUUGCUUUGGGCAUGGAAACCAAAGAUGUCCGAAAGUAUGUCUGAUCAAGAACAUGAUAGACAGGAAAAAAGUCUUAUCUGCAAGGCUGCACCCUCCGCCAAGGGACGAGUGUUCCUGGUGGACCUUUGGCUAGUAUUGUGCUCUAGGGGUGUACCAAAAAAAUCUGCUUAUCCGCGACACUCGUUCCAUUUGCUUUUGAAAUUAAGCCGAGAAAGUCUUGGUUGGAUGAUUAAGGUUGAGAUUUCAAGAAUGAGAAGUCCUAAAUGAUAAUCCCUUUACCCUUAUUUUGUUUUUUAAAUUUCACUUUUCUCCUGUUAGAAAAAAUUACAAAAAAAAAAAUAAAGGUAAGUGGAUUGCACUUUUUUAUUGAGGCAAAUGAGGACUGGGUGCCUGCAAAAUGUGAAUUGUAAUACAGCUCGUAAGUUUGAAAACUGAUGGAUUUAGGUCGUGCCCUGAUGUUCAUAUGCCAUUGCUUCUACCUAUUGUGGAAAGAAAAGGUAACUUUUCACUAUGGCCAAAUCUGCAUUUAACCAAAAGACUAACUCAAUUAGUGAAUGGAAAAAUAGCAGAGCAAUCCGGAAACCGAGAUAAUUAUGAGGAUAGGCAAAUGAGAUAUUUACAGCACCACAAAUUUAUGUCUGUCAAUGGGGCCGAACCAACCCGAGUUCGGCCCUGAAUUAAAUUUGGGCCUAAACAAUAUGUCUGAAUUAAGUGUGAGUCAAGUUUGGGUCUUAUUAGGCUCAAACCCUAUAUAGAUCCGACCGUUUAAUCUGCAUCUAUAUAUAUAUAUAUUAUAAUUACAGCACCACAAAUUUAGGACUAUCAAUGGUGCCGGGCCAACCUGAGUUCAGCCCGAGAAAAAAGCCCAAUAAACCUAACCUUUUAUUAAAUUGGACCGAGUUUGAGUCUAAACAUUAUGUCCGAAUUAAAUGUGAGCCGAACUUGGGACUUAUUAGGCUAAAACCUGAUAUAGGUUCGAUCCUUUAAUCUAUAUAUAUAUAUAUAUAUAUAUAUAUAUAUAUAUAUAUAUAUAUAAUGUAUUCAUAUUGGAUAUAUAUUAAAUAUAAUUAAAUAUAAUAUUAAUAGUUUAUACUUAUGAGUUAUGUGUCAAAAUAUAUUAAUAUACAUAAGAAAUAUUAAAUAUACAAAAUAAUGUCAAAAGAUACAGAAGUACAAAUCUUAGUACGAGCAAAUUGAGGAUCUUUGAAAAUAUAUUGAUUGUCGAUCAUGUUUAUUACUAUUUUUCUUGUAAUUUAAACUAAUUGGAUAUAUUAUUGUUGGAAAAUUCUUGAUUUAUAUACUAUUUAAUGAACUGUUAUUGGUUCAUGUAUAGUUUUAAUGUUGUGGUCCUGUGGAUGUUAAAUUAGUUUUAGAACUUAAUAGUUAUACUAAUUAUGUUAAAAAAAUUAAGGAGUAAUAAGUGAAUUUUGGCUAAACUUGAAUUAGACUUAUAGUCCGAAUAUUUUGUGAGUCAAGUAUAAAUUUUACUUUAUUUAAUUCGAAACUCAUAAUUCAAAAUCUGAAAGUGGUAAUAAUUAUGAGUCGAACCUAUACUUGUUAAAAUCCGACUCAAAUGGCUUGAUUGACAGGCCUACACAAAUUAUGAUGAGGAAACAACAAUAAUCAUGAGGAACUGCCAAAAAUUGGAUAUAAAGGAACUCGCAAAGGCCAAAGUCCACUAAUUUAAUCAAUGUGCUAAGUUGGUUUUAAAGGAACUCCCAAAGUGCACUAAUUACGAUGACGAAACAAUAAUAAUGAUAAAGUAGAAACAUUCAACAAUAAUAAUGAUAAAAGUAGAAACAUUCCGGGGACUCAACUCUUCCACCAUAAGUGCGUGACCAAUAACAGCCCUCCGGAUGUGUUUCUGCAUUCAUGCAAAAUGUGAAACAGAACGUGAGCUUCUAUUACUCAGUAAUUUGGCUAUGGCGGAUUUGGCUACUAUUUACACGAGCAUCACUCUUAAGGACUUCUAGUUAUUACUUCAAUGGUAUUCUCUAUUAGUUAUCUUUUCCUUUUUCUUUUGACCCAAGGGGAGAGGGGUUAGGAGAGGGCGUGAAAGUUAUAUCUUACAGUUAUCUGACUAGUGUCCCUACCAACUAAAUUAGGUCUUGAGGGCUUCAGGGUUUUGUUUUUAAGAGUUUUUGCAUGUAAAUGAACAUGUAAGUAAAACUUUAAUUUUUUAAUUUGCACAACAAGAGUAGUUAGUUGCAUGUCAAAUAUACAGAUUUCAAAUUUCAAAUUUACGUAGAGUUAAAUUGCUUCCGAUUGCCGCACUUCAAAUUUUCUUAAAAUAUAUACUUGUGAGUAGAACUUUUUUUUUAUUUUUUAUUUACAUAGCAAGCAUAGUUAGGUGCAUGUCAAAUGUAUAGAAUUAAAAUUUAAAUUUAAAUAGGGCUUAAAAUGCUUCCAAAUGCCCUCACUUCAAAUUUUCCUAAAAUAUAUACAAAUAACCCAUAUAAGGUUUUUAUGUUUGUUAUGUGUGUCGGCACAGAAUAAGCAUGCAAAAUAGAGGGAGUGGAUCAACAUACAAUUCAAACAAUACCAUUCACCUAAACUUUAAUAUAAAACCAAACAUCUUGCCUACUUCUUAUUCUGUGCAUACAGGAUUGAAGAACCAUAUAUAUAUAUAUAUAUAUAUAUAUAUAUAUAUAUAUAUAUAUAUAUAUAUAUAAAUACAUACAUUCAUACCAUAUGUUACACGUAUCCAAAGAGUAACUACUCAGUUUUGUUGUCAUGCGAAUUAUGUAAUUCACCCAAAAAGGAACACCUGGUUUAGAACAAACUCGUAUUAUAGUAUAUUAAAGACUUUUCAUGUUAAAUACAAUUGAAACAAAAAAAAAAGGGAAAGAAAAUGCCUGCAAACUUUUUACCAAAUCCAAAGAGCUUGAGCCGGGGUUCGCAUGGUAGAGGUCUCAAGGAACUCAUUGUUGCUUUUAAAGUCAAAACCACCCUUCCUUGCAAAAUUUCCAGAACUUAUAUUCUAAUUUAACUUAAAGAGUCAAAACUCUGUCAAUCUUUGAACAUUGAAUGGAGGAUUUGACUAUGAGUAAAGUGGCUUAAGUGGAUUAAUAAACAUGAAGAAUCCAAAUAAUAUGGCAAAGAUUAUGUGAAAGGGCGUGAAACAAUUACCAGAAAAGAGAUGAUUGAAGAAAUUCCAAUGACAGAGAAGCAUGCAAGAAAAACUAUCGGCAUGCAUGUAUAGAUACAGAAAAUAGGUAACUGCGCAGCACCAAUACUUUUUGACAUUAAACUCAUUAUCCCAUCGAGACAGUCCUCACAUGCAAUCUUCUCACACCAAAUACGCAUGUAAUGUUACAAUUUUUUUUCAAGAAAACUUGUAAAUGUUAAGAGUAAAAUUGGGACUGUCUAGUGUUUAGAUUCUAUAUCAACGUACUCAAAACAUUAUUUCACUCAGACGAUAGAGUGAAGCAAUGUACAUAUUCAUCAAUCCAACUUCCUGCAACCAAAGGAACACAUUUACUACUAAGCAUAUUUGAAAAGAUUGGUGAAUGAGACUGAGAGUUCAUAUUUGAAUAGGAGAUCGAAAUUUAAGUUAAACUGGUACGGUUUGUGAUUUACAUAUUGGUACAUUUUAUUAUAUUCUUGUGUAGGAUUUGAUUAGUCACGGCAAACUGGGCACAUGCGUACAAAAAGGAAAAAACACGAAUCUGAAAACACAUCCAUACUUUUCUAAUAGUAUAAUAUAAUAUAAUGAUUUGAAAACAUUGUAAUCUUUGAUAUUCUUUGCUCAGUCUUAUGAUAUGAAAACUGAAAUAAUCGCUCAAUUUUAUUAGCAACUCCGAAUUUGUUUUACUAAACAACCGCAUUAGCUAAAUCUUUAGAAGUUAAAACACUAGAAUUCCACACUGGUUAAGGUCUUUGAAUUGGUUACUUGUUUGAUGAUAAGGAUUAAAUAGACAAGUGACUAUAAAUAAAAGAAACUACGUUAAUUAUAAAAAACAAAAACUUGGGGGAACUUCUAAAUUUUUUCUACUUUCCCUCUUGUGAACUCCUAAUCAAGGCAUGCAUUACAACCCUAGUUAGUAAAAGUUCGCAUUCUACUAUGUUCCUAUGUAUGAUUUGAAAAAAUUUUGGUAUUACAUGCCUGUCACAAACACACUGAAAAAUCUAACUUUUCAACUAAUCAUAUCAAAGACGUAAUCAACUUUUGUCAAAUUAUACUUAAGAACAAUACUUCAAUUUCAAACAAACUUGAAGUUUGUAAAAGGAUCUUCUGAGUUAUAAGCGAAUUGGAUGGAAUUCAUAUUUCUAUAUAUUUAUAGAUAUAAAAUGGAUAAGUUUUUUUUUUCUUUUUAGCCGGGGAAUGAUGAGAUUUAAGGAGUGAAAAUGGGAAAAGUAGUGAUAAGUGACUAAUUUACGUAAUAAUUGUAUGACAUUUUAUAUUAUUUUUAGUCACUUUGGUUAUAUUAUUGAAAGAAUAUGAAUCAUUUUGGCUAUAAUUGGUGAAUAAAUGUUUUUAAGUGAUUAAAUGAGGUUUUUAUCACUUUUUACUUGGAUUUUGUGUAUUUUGACAGUUUUGACACAUUUUCGUAUUUCGGCUAUAACUUGAGUUACAAUGAUCGGAUUGGGAUGAUUCUUGAACCCAUUUGAAGAUAAGAGAUAGAUCUACAACUUUGGUGAAGACAUCUAAAUCCAGUUUGAAGGUUUUCUAGGUCAAAAUGCCGAAUUACAAUAGAAAAUUUCUACUGGUCGAAGCUGGAACAGGGCAAUGAGCAGGUAAGGGUAUUUCGGUCAUUUAUCAGCCUACACAGAUCCAAAUGAGGUGAUUCUUGAUGCAUUGGAAAGCUAACGCAAAGGGCUACAAGUUUCAUGUUUUGGUCAAGAGCUAAAUCAGCUUUUAUCAUCAAGAAAAAUGCAGUUGAAAUUGAGUCAAAAUCGGAGCAGAGCUGGAAAUUGAACCAGAAGUGACCAAAUGGUCACUGUAUCAAUCCGGCCGGAAUUUGGCCGGAUUUAAGGCCGGAUUUCUGGCCGGAUUGCGGUCAGAAAAGGCUGCUCUGUACGCGUAAAACUCAAUUUCACUCCCACCAACUCACAUGUGAUGCUAUACAUGUGAGAAACAUUCCCAGCUGUAAAAGGGAGAUGUAAUCCUCAUUUCUUGACCACCUUUCAUCAUUAAAGAGCCAAAUUCAUUGCAAGAAGAAUGGAAUGGGGGGAUCCAACAAGAAAAUAGAGAGUGAGCUACGGGAGAAAGUUUGAAGCUGCAGAAAUGUAGCUCUUUCAUCUUCCUAGUGUUAGUUUAGCUUAGUAUAGAGUAGUGUAGCUUUUCCAUUCUUGUUUAUUAUCUAGAUUAGGAUGAAGAUGGAGGAUGAAGAAGGCAAGGAAGAAAGCUCAUGUGACAAGGGUUGUAUUCCUUCCAAACUCUUUAUCUUUUGUAUUUGAUUCCAAGUUUAGUUAAUAUACAAGUUCUGGAUUUUGUGUUCAUUAUGUGUUUCUAAAGUUUAUACCUUGGGUUUGGUUGAACUUUCUAUGAUUGUUAGUGUUAAUUGUUUGGUUAUUUGAUUGCUACGAUUUGAGCAAGUUAUUUAGCACUUUGGCUUCUUAAAUCAUGAUUAAUCUGGUACCAUUAAUUGUGAUUAUCUAAGGUGUUGUUUCUGCAAUGAAAAUUGAGAUUUAACACUAGUUCAAGAAGUGCUAAACAUAGGGAGUACACUCACGAAAGUAGAGGUGCACUUAUGUGGUUUUUAGUGAUUCAUUUCAUGUAAUUUCAUUGAAGAAAUGAACUUGUAGCUAAUUUCAUAACCAUGAAAAUAGGUAUGGAUUAGUUAUGAGUAUAGUUGAUUCACUGCGAAAGUAGGUUUCAUAUGUUUAAGGAAAUUACACCAUAACUAGCCUAGAUGUAGUACUUAAUGAUCCAAAUAUAGCACUUGCAUGAGUAGUUAGGGAUACCACAACCUAAGGAGCUUUCAUUUGCUAUUUUCUUGCAUAAUUUCAGUAGGUUAAAUUUGUUAUAAUUCAUUGAUAGUCUAAAUAAUAGAGAAGCUUUAGUAAUACCGGUAAUUGUUCACUCUUCCCUGUGGGAUCGACCCGAUAUAUACCCUAAACUACUAGUUGAUCUGUAUACUUGCAGUGAACGGGUGUAAUUCGAUAUUUUUUAGCUUGUACGUAUGUAAAAUACCCGUCAAGUAGUAUUAGACCCAAGACGUUUGAUUGCUAAAGCCAUAAAACCAAUAAGAUGAUAAAACUUCAGUUAAAAUAGUGCCUCACACAGAAGGAUAAUGCUUUUAUAUUAACACAGUAUAAUAUCUUAAAAUUAUAGUAAGUUUACCCGCACUUUUAGUUGAUGUCUACAUACUUUUCUGAUACGUAUUUAUGUUCAUAAUCUUGUCAAACUCAUACUUCUUACACCAAAUUAUAAGUAUAUAAGAAAAUUUUGUAUAACAUAGCUUUUCAUAGUAUUCCUAUCCCUUAUUAUACUAACUAGGGUAAACAACCUAAAUAGGCCUAGAACUUUUAAAUUUGUAUACUUAUGUCCCUAACUAGUGAAUGGAUGACCAAGUAUUUCUGUCAUUUUAAACUGUUAACCUUAAUCAAAUAUACUAAUUAAAAUGACGUGGUCAUUAUCUUCUUCCUCUAACCAUGUCUGGUGGGUGCUGUAACUCCUAAGCCCCAACCACCAGUCAAUCACCUUUGACCACCACCACCGAUGAACGAUCCAUCAUUGCUGUUCCAUUGUCAAAUGUUGGUGAUACUAAGCUCUUAACUCCAUUUCUCAUGUAAAUUUCAAAUUUAACUUCAGCUUUUAGCGAAUCUUGUUAUGUAAUACUAGAUCUAAAGUCAAAUGUAGCACUUAUUACCACCUAUUUUUAAAUCCACUGGCAUUUUUUCCCACUCUUAUCAAGUAAGAUUCAUAGAAAAUAUUGUCUAAGUUUGAAAUGAAAGCAAAAAAUGCAGUGCAUGAGUAUAAUUUUAUUAAAAUUUGUUUGUAGAGUACCUUGAGUUGGUCGGGGUUAUUAUCACUUUACUCCCUUAAACUAUAUCACUACUAUCAGUUUACCCCAUAACGUUUUCUUUUAGUAAAUUUACCUCCAUAAGUAAUUCAACUAACAUGUUAAGAAAUUUUGGACAAAAAUAUCCUUUUAUUUUAUAGCAUUACUAUAUUGUUAUUAUCACUUUAUUCGUUUAGAUUAUAGUGAUACAAUCACUUUAGUUCUUAACAUUAUUUUCUUGGCAUUUUACCUCAUCGUUAAUCUAACUAGUAUGGUCAAAAUAUUUUAAAUAUAUUUACCAUUUUUAUAUAUAAUUAAAAAUAAAAAAGUUGGAAUGGUUAUUCUUCCUUUUUUUCACUUUAAGAGAUCGAAAAACAUAAAAAUAAAAGGGUUUUUUCAAAUUUCUUUUUUUCACACUUAUUAAUACUAGGAAAAGAAAAAGAGAUAGGAAAGAAGGAGACAAAAAAAAUUAGAUUUUGCAAAAAAAGAAAAUAAAGAAAAGUCUAACAUUAUCGUAUUAUUUUAAGAUUGUCGAAAUUAGGAUUGGAAUUUGGUGGUAAACAAAAAAAGUGAAAUAAUUUUAAAAUAAUAAAAGUAUUUAAUUCUUUCUUACUUAUAAUUUUUAAAAAAAGAAUUGAGCUCUCUCUCUCCCUCUCCCCCUCCCCCUCCCCCUCCCCCUCCCCCUCUCCAUCUUUCUAUUUUUUUUCAAUAUUAAUAAGAUUGCCAAGAAGAAAGAAAUUAAUACUUUGACUUUUUUUCUUGAUACUAAAAAUGAGAAAAGUCACUCUAAAUUUUUUAUUAUUUUUAUUAUGCAAAGAGGAGGGUAUUUUCUUCUAUAGUUUUUUAACUUGCUAAGUUGGUUUAAUGGUAGGAUAAAUUGCCUAGAAAAUAACUCUAAGGGGUAAAUUGAUAAUGAAACUAUAUUUUAUGGGGGUAAAGUGAUAAUAAUUUUAAGGAUUAAACAUAACUUUUCACUUAAUUAACAAAUUCUGUUAAGUUUGACUAUUAGUUUUGGGGGUAAAGUGACUAAAAGAUAACGUUAAGGGGAAAAUUGAUAGUAGCACCAAACGUUAAGGGGGUAAAGUGAUAAUAACCCAGUUGGUCGAGAUGGUAGAGCUGGUGUCAUACUUUCCUGCCAAUCUAGAUUCAAACCUCUCCUGGAAACAUCUGUCCAUUGCACAAGACUUGCCUACCUUGUGGUUGACGGGCUAUUGCACGGAGUGAAGUUUAUCCGGUGGUCAAUCAUGAAUGAAAGGUCAUUGGCCGGCAACAUGGAGUUAAGCAGCCACCUAUUGUGCAAGGACCGAACUAGGAUCACGGAAAACCAUCCUCAAGUUCUAGAAUUUCAUACUUUCUUCAUUAAAGAAUUUUAAGAAUCUUUUAAUUUUUCUUUUUUCUAAGCAUAAAUUUCCUCUAUAUAUUUAGCUAUUCGACCCUCCAGAAAUUUUCAAAAGUUUUUAUGUUAUGUCAGAAAUUUACAUGUGCAUUCAUCAAUCAUGAAAACUGGAAAUGUAAGAGGGAUUUUUAUCUCUGUAACUAGCUUUUUUGCGCAAAGCGAAGUUUUGCCACUAAGCUACAUCUUUAACUUGGCUAGUUUUUGCCAGCCACGCAAACGCAUGGCGGUGCCCAAGUACAGUUUAGCAAUUGCAAAAUAUGAAGUAGAUGUUAUUAGUUUAUAAUUCUAGUGCUUCAAAAUGAAAAGUUGUAAGAGUUAAAUCGAAAUAAUAAGUUGGUAAUCUCCAUAGUUAUUUAUAAUGACCACAUAAAAUUCUUAAUAGCAUCAGAAUGAUGUUAUGAUAUAUCCUUAAAGUAAGAAAUCAAAAGGAAAAUCAUGGGAAGGAUGGAGGGAGAAUCAGUUGUUUAUGUUUACAAAGCCAAACUUUAUAAUAAUGCACUCAUUGAUAUUAGUCUAAGUAAUUAAGAAAUUCAAAUCAGGCAUAAGUACAAGAAAAACAACUGUGAAAAGUCAACAUUGCAGUCUGAAAUUAACUCUCCUUUGUAUAUGUUUGGGACAAAUUCAGCAACGGCUUUCCUUCCAUUGCAUCUAAUAGCAUCCUUAUCAUGCCCUAGUUAAUAUAAGUGGAUUUCCUAAUAUCAAACUGCAUUUCUUGAAAAAGAAAAUCUUCAAUUGGAAAAGAAUACAAGAUAAUGAAAUUCAACAAAUAAAGAGUACAGGAGAAAGAAAUUUUUAACUAUCACUAUAACCACAAUAUAUAUACCCCUAGCAAACAUAGCAUGCUAAGCUAAUAAGAUAAUCCAUCAUUGCAAAUCGAAAUCUAUGCACCUAAAAAUCAAAUAUCGGCACCUCCAUAUCAGAGGUAAAAACAAAAAUAUAGACAACAAACACGCUUUUCUUUUCAAUUAUGUGUAAUCUUAUAUUGAUCAACUUAGCCCAUAGAAGGCAAAGAGAAAAUGUAUAAAGUCAGGAAAAAGAUACUCCUAUGUUCUAAAGCAUGCCUCUAAGAAAAAAACAUUUCCAUUUCAAGGACGGUAUACAUGGGUGCAUUACAUUUGCAAAAUUUCGAAUUAAUGAUUCAUUUAUUCAUGCUUACAAAUGACUAUUUUUUCAGUCGGGCUAGUUACUCCAUUUGUACAUUAUUUUUGCUCUUUAAAGUUAUUAAAGUUGUUAUCAACCAAGAUACAAAGUGCUUAGCAGAUUUUAGACAAGCUAGUCUCUAGGAAUAAAUUUAUUUGUCCUAUCCUGAUCAUUCAAAAAAUAGAGUUUAAAUCAUUUGGUGUAUAGUUUAAAAUUGAGUUGUUCAGUUUUCAUUGCAAAACAGAGGGAGAUAAGCAACUCAACCUACCAAACCAGAUACAUAGUAGCUCUGCAACAAAAUCAGUGCAUUAGCUUAGAGGCUCAAUUUAUCGGCCAUUUACAUUUAUUGGCCAUAGGAUAUUUUUACCAUCUGUUUCCUAGCUUUGAUUAUGUCAUUGUUCUUCUUCUGAAUAAUAAAGCGAAGAAAGACAAAAUCUUGCUAUCGAAUAUACAAAUAAGCAGAUAGGAUAAUAUUGUUAACACGCGCAGGAAUAAUCAAUCUUCCCAAGGAGCCUAUACAUCAAACAAACUAGGUAAUAAUAACAAAAAGUUAAGCUUAAGCACACAAAGAUUGGUCCCACAAUAGAUAAGUUCAACCAUUGAACUCUUGCUAGCAUAUCAACAUCACAAGGUCCUGAAAAUUUUUAGGGAUAAUUUCGGAAUCCUCCCUUGAGGUUUCUAACAAUUUCAAUGGUCUUUCUUGAGGUUUAUAAAAUUAGACUUACCUCCGUUGGCAAAAUUGUGGGCCCAGUUACUUACAUCACAAGGGAAAAAAUUACUCGUAUACCCUAAGACAUUAUGUCUUAUUAGAAACUAAUAUCUAACAAUGAUGUAAUUAGAGCACUGAUUAAUUAUUAGUAAUUGAUUUAUGAAAAUAACUUUUGAAAAUUUCUUUAAUGAUGAACAAUGACUUGCAAUUACAAAAUAAUGCCAAUUGAUAUACCACAUAGCAAGUCAUAAACAACCUUCUUUUGUCCUGUAUAUUUUUCUUCUACCAAAUCCCUUCUUCUAACAUUGUGUAUAACUGAUUUCUAUUCAUUGUUAAGUUCUAUCAGUCACAAAAUUCACCUUUGAUCAAUGCAACAGAGUUUCUUAUUAUCAUAUUUUAUAGUAUAUUGAUCUCACACUAUUUACUGUAUUUCAUAAACAGCUAUGUUCUCUUAUGAUCGACACAACAAUUUCAUCAUACGAUAACUAACACCACAACUUUGUGUAUUAAAUUGAGAUAAUAAAGGAUUGUUAAUCUAUCAUCUUUUGAUUGUCAUAGAUUUUUAACAGAAAAAUUCUCAAAUUUUUGCCUUCAUUUCUGCUUUCUUUCUCCUUUUGUUUCAUGAAUGCAUAAGAUGAAAUAAACUCAACCAAAAUCACCAAAACUUAUUCUUUUAUGAAACCUUAUUGGAGGUUUCUUUCUCCCACAUUUUCUUGCUUCUGCUUCUCUUCUAUGUAGUAAAUAUAUGAUUUGUAUUGUCCUCUCAACUGUUGUCAAUCACAAAAUAGUACCAUGUUGGAGCAUCAAAAUGGCACUAUUUUGUAAGUGCACUUACAGUGCCUAAUCAAACAAAAAAUAACUGUUAAUUUUGUUUAAUCAGUUAUCUUAGACUUGUUUAUUGCCCUAAUUUUUUUGGCCCAAAUUUGUUUACUAACAACCUUAAACUCUUAGGGUAUAGAAGUGAAUUUUUCCUAGCUUAUGUCAACUAUAGACCCUAAAUUCAUGCUAAGGGAGAUUAGUGCUAUUUUCCAAAUCUCAAAAGGAGGUGAAUGCAACUAUCAAAAAUCUCAGGGGAGGUUUAUGCAAUUAUCCCUUAAAAGUAAUUUCAUGUAAGUAAAGGAAAAAGGAGGGAAAGAAAGACAAAGUUUGAAUUCUGUUUUAUUCAAAAUUACAAAAAUCAUAGCAAACAUUAUAUUAAAAGAGAUUACUAGCCUAUUUUGCUGAGUCUUGUGAUCAUUAGUAUAGGUUUGUUGCUUAUUUGUGUUGUUUAAUGUAUUUAAUGUGAACUUUUUGAGUAGUAAAAUGUGUAUAUUAAUUGUUUCUAACUUUUAAUUAUUUUGAUUCUUUUACUAAUACAACCUAUAUACAUACAUAAAGGGUAUUUAUGGUAUGAAAGUUUCAUCUUUCUCCUUAAAGUACUUUUUUAAUGUUACUUUUUCUAACUUAGACUAAUUUUGUUGUAAAAACCUUAAUCGCAUGGGAGGUUUGUGUAAUUUUGCAAAUUUCAAGAGAGGCUAGUAAAAUUGUCAGAAACCUUAAGAGAGGUUUAUGAAAAUAUUUCAAAUUUUUAUGCAAACAAGGAUUGUAAUUUUUCGCUGAAAAACUUUUACAUUUUUGUUGAACACAUUUCCCAAUCAUAUUUUUACCUUACAUACAUUAAAUCGCUACGGUACAUUUUCUAUAAAACUCCUAAAAGUAGCAAUCCAAACAAGGUCAUUGCAAUUUUUUGUAGAAAAUUUUUACGUUUUUAAUGAACACAUUUCUAAAUCAGUUUUUUACCUUAUACACAUUAAAUCGCUAUAGUAUAUUUUGCUACAAAAUUUUUUAAAAAUAGCAAUCCAAACGGGAUUCUAAGGCCAUUAACUUUAUGAGUGGAUAUUAAUAUGGCAAUUAGGGGUGGACAAAAAUAUUCGCUAAUUCGAAGAUCUAAUCCGAUUUGAAAAUUAGGAUAUCCGAUCCGUACUAUUUGACCAAAUCAAAAGAUGGUCGGGUACCCACUUAGAUGCGAAGCGGGUAAGGGUCACAUAAUUAAAAAUGCGUGGCAGUGCCCAAGUACUCUUUAGAAAUUGCAAAAUAUGAAGUAGAUAUUAUUAGUUUAUAAUUCUAGGGCUUCAAAAUGAAAAGUUGUAGGAGUUAAAUCGAAAGAAUAAGUUGGUAAUCUCUAUAGGUAUUUAUAAUGACCACAUAAAACUCUUAAUAGCAUCAAAAUGAUGCUAUGAUAUAUCAAAGUAAGAAAUCAAAAGGAAAAUCAGGGGAAGGAUAGAGGGAGAAUCAGUUGUUUAUGUUUACAAAGCCAAACUUUACAAUAAUGCACUCAUUAAUAUUAGUCUAAGUAAUUAAGAAAUCCAAAUCAGGCAUAAGUACAAGAAAAACAACUGUGAAAAGUUAACAUUGCAAUCCGAAAUUACUCUCCUUUGUAUAUGUUUAGGACAGAUUCAGCAAUGGCUUCCCUUCCAUUGCAUCUAAUCGCAUCCUUAUCAUGUCGUAGUUAGUAUAAGUGGAUUUUCUAAAAUCAAACUGCAUUUCUUGAAAAAGAAAAUCUUCAAUUGGAAAAGAAUACAAGAUAAUGAAAUUCAACGAAAUAAAGGGUAUAGGAGAAAGAAAUUUUUAAUUGUCAAUUUAGCUAAAGUGUAUAUACCCCUAGCAAACAUAGCAUGCUAAGCUAAUAAUAUAAUCCAUCAUUGAAAAUUGACGGGUUCUUGUUAUAAGUACAGGUUUAUAUCUAAAAUACACCUAUUUGACUGCAAGUAUACAGGUCAAAUAGUAGUUUAGGGAAUAUAUCAGGUCAAUUCCACGAGGAACAACAAAUGCAAAUACUAGAGCUUUACUUGCUCUAUUAUUUGGACUAACUAUCAAAUAAAGCAAUAGAAAUCACAAUACUUACUAAUCAACUAUCUUAACUAUAUGUAGAGUCUACUUAUGGCACAAAAGAUACAAAUGAAUAGAUUUACCUCUUAUUACUACUCUUGUUUAACUAGGGAUUCAUUUUCAUAUUUACCAAAACUCAUUCUCAUGAUGUAAUGGGUUAGACUAGUUUAGUUUUUCCUAUUUUCAUGGUGAAUAACUAGAUCUACUCUUGUGUUUUUUAUUGACAUGCGCGGGGUAUACAUAUAACAUUUAGCUCAUCCACAAUCAAUUUUUACAUUUAUAAACUCUUAAAUACCCCCACACGCAUCGCAAGUAUACGAAUCGUGAGCGAGUAUAGGGUAUUAAAGGUCGAUCCCACAGGGAAGAGGCAACUACCGGUGUUUUUCGAAUUCCUUUAUUAUCUAGACUACCAUAAACAUAAAAUUAAUGAAAAUAAUACUAGAAAGCUCCUAGAGAUAUGGAAUUCCUUACUAUACUUGCAAAUGAGAUUACCGGUUAAGUGAAUCCUAUUAUCUUGGCUAGUUAUGGCGUAAUUUCCUAAUGUAUGUGAAACCUACUCUCGUAGUGAAUCAAUUAUACUUGUAGCUAAGUCAUACCUACUCUCGUGGUUAUGAAAUUAACUACAAGGUCAUUUCUUCUAUGAAAUUACAUGAAACAAGUCACUUAAGCCACAAAGGUGCACCUCUACUCUCGUGAGUGUACUCCCUAGGUUUAUCACUUUCUUAAACUAAUGUUAAAUUUCAAUUCUCAUUGUAAAUUUAACACCUUUAGAUAAUCACAAUUAAUGGCCGGUUAAUCAUGGUUAGAAGAGCAAAAGUGAUAAAUAACUUGCUUAAAAUAAUAUCAUCACAUAACCAAAUACACAUCACUAACAAGAUAUAGCAAGUUCAACCAUAACUCUAGGCAUAAAUUUUAACUAAACAUGAAAAUAAGAUCCAAACUUGUAUUAUAGUUUAGCACGAAAUCAAAUACAAAAGAGAAAGUGAUAGGAGAGAAAUCACCCUUGUCACAUGAGAUUCAAACUCUCCAUCUUUACUCCUCCAAUCUUCAUCCAAAUCUAACUACAAAUACAAGAAGGAAACACUACACUAACUAAUCUAUACUAACCUAACUAAUGAACUAAGGAAACUCUAGUGAAAGUUACAUUUUUUGUGAGUUUCUCUAGCCUUCCAAAGUUGUCAAAAUAUCCUCCAAAGGCUUCUAUAUAUAGAGGAUUCAAGAGCCAAAUGAGUUGUUUCUAGUUGUCAUUUUUUACUCUUAAAACUCUCUAAGUUUGCUUCUCAAAGUUUCCAUACUCAUUUGAUCAUUUCCAGUUGGAAUCUUUGCAGAAAAAGUGGUUAAAAAGGUUGUGUGAAAAUAGCACAAGUUGCAGAGGAAGUUGCAGUCGAAAUCUACUAAAACGCGGGUAGAAAACGCGGCCUGUGCCCGCGUUUUAGCCCCCGUUUUGAUCUUUGCAGUUUUGCACUUUUCUGGGCAGAAUUCAUCCUUGCUUUGUUUUUAGUCCAACUUCAACUGAUAAUUGCUCAAUGUUAGAGGUUGAACUAGCUCUUGUGUAAAACAUGAAAGUUGUAGCCCAUUGAGUUAGCUUUCCAUUGCAUAAGAAUCAUCCAAUUUGGAGCUCUUUGGACCAAGAAAUGACCAAACUACCCUUAACUAGUCAGAACCUUGUUUCAGCUUUCGACCAUGAACAAGCACUUCUGUAUUUUGGCUUUUUGACAAGGAGGACAACUGAACUGGACUUCGAUGUCUUCAUACCAAAUGUAAAUAUGUCUCUUAGCUUCAAAAUGAUAUAAGAAUCACCUCAAUACGAUCAUUGUAGCUCAAUAUAUAGUCAAAAUACCACAAGGUGUCAAAGCUGGAAAACCUUUCUUCUUUUGUUCUUGAUUGCAUUUCCUAUCUUGCACUUCAUGUCUUCUUUAAACUACUUCAAAUCAUCAUCAAUCAUCCAAUUAUCUUCUCCAAUCACUCCAUUUGACGAUUGAAUCAUUAAACCUACAAAAACAUGAAGUUUUCACCAUAAAAAUCCAUAGAAAUGCAAUCUUUGCCACUUAAACCACAAAAUGCAUAUUUUCACUAGAAUCUUAGUUAAUUAGCUAUAAAACUAACUAAAACACACCAAAACUAAAUAAUAAAACACACUAAAAAUACGUAAAAUAUCUAUUUGUCAUUUAUAAAAUGCAAGAUAAUCCACUCAAGUGCACCUCUAUUCUCAUGAGGCUACUACUUAAGUUCCAUUUAUGUUGUUCCAUCAUUAUUAUCAAUUUUCAUUGAAUAACAAUAACUGAAAACUUGCUAUUGGUGAUCAAGCAAUAACAAGUGAUACGCAUGCAUAAAUGGACAAGUUAAUGUAAGAGGUAGCAAGUGUAAAUCAUAUUCAACUCACAUUAAGUAGUUUUCAUCUACUCUCUAGAUUUAGAAAUUUAGCUACUCAUGGGAUAUAAAGCAAGAAAGAACAUAACUUCAUUGCAUGAACACAUAUUGAAUCACAAGUAAAGAGAAAGAUAAAAAAAAGCUUAGGCAAGGUGAUGAACAAGCUCCCAAAUCUUCUAUUUCUUCAACAAAAUGAGUGUACAAUGAAUUCUCUAAGUUUUUCUUAAAAAUUUCUAGCUAAAGAAAAUAAGGAAAGACUAUGACUAAGAACUAUCAAGAACUUGCAAGAACUUUUCUAAGAUCCCCCUUUUUCCUCACUGAUUCUUACAUAUACAACGUUUAGAGAGUCGAAAAAGUAACAAUUGAUAUGACAUAAAGCUCCUUUUCUCUUCCCUAAAGAAUCUUGAGCAUGUGCAGCCGAAAUUUUGAUUGGAAUAGAGUUGGAAAGUAAUGUGAAAAUAGAGCAAGUUGUAGAAAAACAGAGCACAAUACGCGACCUCUAAAUACGAGACCUAAGCCCGCAUAUCCAAGGUCGCGUAUUCGCUUCUGAGACGUGUUCUUACUUCUUUUCUGCUUCAAUCGAUCAUUAAUAUCAUAAGCAAGAUAUCCAAGUGUUUGGUCAUGCAUUUCACCAAUAAUUCUUGCGUUUGAUGCCCUUAUACUUUCCAAAUUACCGUUGAAUGAAGUACUGAUGAGUUCAAAUUAAAUCCAUCUUAAUCCACCGUUGAUAAUUCUCCUCAAAUCCUGCAAAUAUAACCAAGUUUGCACGUUAAAUUGCUUAAAUGAAACUUGCAAAAUUUAGAAGUUUGGAGAGCAAGUUACACCAUAAAAAAACCUAUUUUAUACCAAAAAUAAACAUAAAAUACUACUUAAAAACACACAUAAUAAACACUUAUCACAAAUUGAAAUCUAUGCACCUAAAAAUCAAAUAUCGGCGCCUCCAUAGCAGAGGUAAAAACAAUUAUAUAGACAACAAACACGCUUUUCUUUUCAAUUAUGUGUAAUUUCAUAUUGAUCAACUUUGCCCAUAGAAGGCCAAGAGAAAAUGUAUAAAGUUAGGAAAAAGAUACUCCUAUGUUCUAAAGCACGCCUCUAAGAAAAAAAUAUUUCCAUUUCAAGGACAGUAUACAUGGGUGCAUUACAUUUGCAAAAUUUCGAAUAAAUGAUUCAUUUAUUCAUGCUUACAAAUGACUAUUUUUUUAGUCGGGCUAGUCACUCCAUUUGUACAUUAUUUUUGCUCUUUAAAGUUACUAAAGCUGUUAUCAACCAAGAUACAAAGCACUUAGCAUAUUUUAGACAAGCUUGUCUCUAGGAAUAAAUUUAUUUAUCCUGUCCUAAUCAUUCAAAAAAUAGAGUUUAAAUCAUUUGUAGUAUAGUUUAAAAUUGAGUUGUUCAGUUUUCAUUGUGCAAAAUAGAGGAAGAUAAGCAACGCAACCUACCAAACCAGAUACAUAGUAGCUGUGCAACCAAAAUUAGUGCAUUAGUUUAAUGGCUCAAUCUAUCAGCCAUUUACAUUUAUUGGCCAUAGGAUAUUUUACCAUCUCUUUUCUAGCUUUGAUUAUGUCAUUGUUCUUCUUCUGAAUAAUAAAACCAAGAAAGACUAAUUCUUGCUAUCGAAUAUACAAAUAUGCGGAUAGGAUAAUAUUGUUAACACAUGUAGAAAUAAUCAAUCUUCCCAAGGAGCCUAUACAUCAAACAAACUAGGUAAUAAUAACAAAAAGUUAAGCUUAAGCACACAAAGAUUGGUCCCACAAUAGAUAAGUUCAACCAUUGAACUCUUGCUAGCAUAUCAACAUCACAAGGUCCUAAAAAUUUUUAGGGAUAAUUUCGAAAACCUCCCCUGAGGUUUCUAACAAUUUCAAUGGCCUUCUUUGAGAUUUGUAAAAUUACACUUACCUCCCUUGACAAAAUUGUAAGCCCAGUUACUUACAUCACAAGGGAAAAAAUUAUUCAUAUAUCCUAAGACAUUAUGUCUUAUUUGAAACUAAUAUCUAAUAAUGGAGUAAUUAGAGCACUAAUUAAUUAUUAGUAACUAAUUUAUGAAAAUAAUUGUUGAAAAUUUCUGUAAUGAUGAACAAUGACUUGCAAUUACAAAAUAAUGCCAAUUGAUAUAUCAAAUAGUGCUAUUUUGUGAUUGAUAGAACUUAACAAUGACUAGAAAUCAGUUAUACACAAUGUUAGAAAAAGGGAUUUGGUAGAAGAAAAAUAUACAGGACAAAAGAAGGUUGUUUAUGAGGAAAUUUUCUUUGAAACUCUUAAAUCUGUGAUAGUUUAAAGUAGGGAUAAUUGCAAAAACCUCCCCUAAGGUUUUUGACAGUUGCACUCACCUCCCCUGAGGUUUGAAAAAUAGCACUAACCUCCCCUGAACUUAAGAUUUUGAUAGCAACUUCAGCCUAUGUUAAAAAAAGUGCCAUUAAAAAAGUCUUUUGGAAAGUGAGAGAAUAAUUUUGUUUCAUUUGUACCCUUUUUGCCUCUUAUGAGGUAGUAUUAGUAAAAGAAUGAAAAAUAUUAAGAGAUGGAAACAAUUAGUGAAACUCAGAGGAUAUAUGUGCAAAGAGAACAAUGGCAACAACAAAAUCUGGAAGAAACAACAAAUAUAUGUUUAGAAACAUAAGGUUCUAAAGCACAUAGAGAGACUGUUGAUCAAGCACGAAAACUCACCUUUGAUCAAUGCAAGAGAGUUUCUUAUUGUCGUAUUUUAUAGUAUAUUGAUCUCACACUAUUUACUGUAUUUCAUAAACAGCUAUGUUCUACAAAAAUUUUUAAAAAUAUCAAUCCAAACAGGAUUCUAGGGUCAUUAACUUUAUGAGUGGAUAUUAAUAUGGCAAUUAGACGUGGACAAAAAUAUUCGGUAAUUCAAAUAUCUGAUCUGAUCCAAAAACUUGGAUAUCUGAUCCGUAUUAUUUGACUAAAUCAAAAGAUGGUCGGGUACCCACUUAUAUUAGGAAUGAGUUAGACUCACAUAAUUAAAAAUCCGUGGAUACCCAAUCCAACCUACAUAUAUAUUUUUUAUUUUUUUAUUUUUAUACAUAUACUACAAAAUAAUAGUUUUAGAGUUAAAUAAGCAAUUUCAUUGAACAAAUUGCAUUACAAAUAUGGAAGACUGUAAUUUGUUUAUAAGAUUCAUUUGUAGAAGUCACGAUCUUAUGUUUUUCUAGAAAAGAGUUUAAUUAAUGUGUAAUAUAUAUUUUAAAAAAAGGUACUACUUAUUUCAAAUAUUCAUUGAUUUUGAAUUCUUUUUAUUUUUUUCCUUUUUUCUUGUAUUUUCUUCACAUGUUUGUUUCUUGAUGUGAAAUUUUUUUUUGAGAAAAAAUCUUAUGAAUAUGUAAUAGACAAAAUUUUUUUUUUUUUAGUUAUAGAUUACUAAAUAUCUUCGUACACAAAAGUUCAACCUAGUGCACUAGUUUACAAUUAUACAUCGUUUAAGGAUGGCCAAAAUUUCUUGAAUGAGGGUUCAUUCUCACAAAGGUCAUUCCCUCACUGGUAUUGGGUGUAACUAAGUUUACCUCAUUCUCAUUCAGUAAAACCUUCUCAAUUUUUUUUUAGAAUGAAUUAUUGUUUUAUAAACUCAAGAGGAAAUCAACAUGGUUGCACAAUUUUGCAACAUUCUCGGCUCCAUCAACCCGCAAAGUUAUCCUACUCUCCUCCUCCUGAUCGAAGGCAUGCCUAACCUAUCUAAGCGAAUUUUCCCGUGCGCCAAACUAGGAAUUGCACUGAACUGGUCAUAGAUGCUCAUAGUGCGAUUGUGAGCAGAAGCGCCUACAUUUGCUAGUCUGUCUGCCACCCUGUUACCUUUUCGAUAACAAUGAUCAAACCCCGACGCAUCCUCAGCCAAGCCCCAAAUCUGUUCUAUCUCCCUUCAUAUCACUCACAGGCACUGCAACCGUCUUUGAAGAAUCCCAACUAGGGUAAGUGAAUCCACUUGUAUACUGACAUUGGUGAACUCCUUGUGCUUGCACAGGUGGAGACCCGUUAAUAGGGCCAAAGCCUCUGCCCGCAAACUAGUAGUUUCCCAAAAAUACGCCGAAAAAGCAAAUAAUGGCAAUCCAGAAGAAUCACGUAGAAUUCCUCCACCACCACUCACUCAUGGGCUGCCCUUGGAGCAUCCAUGCGUAUUUAAUGUUAACAUCCCUGCCUCCUUCGCCUUCCAUCCCACUAGCUGGUAGCCAUAGCGAGUUGGCGUUUGCGCUGUCCACUCAUAUAGCUGAGGAAAUGUCUGCACCGCAACCCUCUGAUUGAACUGGACUUCUAUCACUGCUUUCACGUCCAAAAAAAUGUCCUGACAAAUCCUCAAUAUUCGCAUCCGGAUCCCCUCAUAAUACGCUUGAUUCCGAACCUUCCAAAUAUGCCAGCAUAUAUAGUUUGGAAGAACUAAGAAAAGGAAUCGUCUUUUUUCUGUGCGUGGCGCAGACAUCCACCAUCCCGUUAUCCGUGUCCGUAGUGAGGAGCCUAGCUAUGCCAUCCUACACAACCUAUCAAAAUAAUCCCAUACUCCCUUUCAAUCUUACCCUUCGAGAAAAGAUGCUCCAAGGUCUCAAUCGAUCCCUCUUGGCAGCACAAACAUUUUGAGGUCAGUUGUACUCCCACCCUCCACAAAGUACCAGUUAGUGGCAAUCUCCCCAAUAGCAGAUGCAUCAUGAAGAAAGAGAUUUUCAAUGGAAUUCACGAAUGCCAUACCUGAGAUUGUAUUAAAGAAUAGUUUCGAGACUGUCGAACCUCCUGAAUGGCUGAUGCCAAAGUGAACCUCCCCGAUGCGGUCAGCCUCCAUAUAACCUCAUCGCUCCCAUCUCCCUCCGGGACCGGAUAUUAUAAUAUUGGGUGGAUAAACUCUUACAGAAUAUACUGGGUGAGCAAAUUAAACUUCCAUUCCCCAUUCGUUCAGAAGUCCUUGAAGGUGAGGGCCGGAUAUACCGAAGUUUUGAGGCAUAGAGCCCCACUGCCCAACCAGUUGUCAUACCAAAAGUUACAAAACCCUACAUUAACCAGCCAUAGCAUGGAUAGUUCUACCAGUCGGCUUGUAUUUAACAUUCUUCUCCACGUCCCCGAGUCAAAUCGUUUCCAUUCCACCUGGCAAGGAUGAAGCUCCCUGCAGUAUUUUUCCCCGCAUAAAAAGCGACACACCUAUCCGAAAGUUCCAUCACAAUUUGCAAGAGAAGGCCGAGUAAAGAUCCCGGAGCUUUUUGAACCCCACACCCCCUCCUGAACCGGAAGGCAUAAUUGAGACCAUCUGAUCCAAUGAAACUUCAUUCCUUCUCCUGAUGAUCCCCAUAGAAAAUUUGCACAAGCCUGCUCUAUUCUUUUAAACACCGAGGCAUGACACACGGCAGCUGAUAAUAAAUGUACUGGAAUGGAUGAGAACACAUGCUUUAUCAAAACUAUUUUUCCCCUCAGGAAAAUCAACCUUGACUUCCAAGACAUAAUUCUAGCAAGCACAGUCUGACAUACCUCAUCAAAGUACACAGAUUUGCUUCGGCCCAAAUACAAGGGAAAUCCAAGAUAACGAAUUGGAAACUCCUAUCUAGUAAAUUGCGUAAGCCGCUCAAUCACCCUUCUCUGAGCUGUUGGUAGGGUCUUAUGAACCAAGUAUCCACUCUUUUGUGUGUUUACCAGUUGUCCUGAUGAAUGCUGGUAAGCAUCAAGCACCUGCACUAGCCGUUUUAAAGCAGCAGUAGCCCCAUUCGAGAAUUAGCACGUCAUCAGCAAAUGCUAGGUGCAUGACUUCCGGACAUCCCAUAGGGACUCUGAACACUACGAAGCCCUGCUGCACUACUAGAUUAUUGAGGUCUCGCGAGAGUAUCUCCGAACCAAUAAUGAACAACACUGGGGGCAAUGGAUCUCCCUGCCGGAGACCCCUGCUAGAUUUGAAGUAACCGUGGGAUGUUUCAUUAAUGAUAAUUGAAAAUCAGACGUUAGAAAUUAACCUCCAGACCAUGUCUAUGAAUCGCUCCCCAAAUCCAAAUUUGCGCAAGACAGAAAUAAUAUGCCACCAAGACAUUCGAUCAUAUGCUUUAGCUAUAUCCAGCUUUAAGGCGACAUUCCCUCCUCUUGAUUUCUUGCCUAUAAGCGAGAUCAGCUCCUAAGCUAACAAAUAGUUAUCUGUUUUGUUUCGACCUUUGACAAAAUCCGUCUGCUGGAGAGAAAUAAUUUUCGGUAGUACCGAGGCCAUACAUUCCACCAAAAUUCUGGAUAAUAAUUUAUUGAAAAAAUUGUACAGGCUAACUGGUCUGUAUUUGGAGAAAUCCUGGGGAUUCGAACUUUUAGGUAUCAAAACAAUUGAAGUGGAGGUAAUGAAUCUAGGCAGUUCACUUCCACAGAAGAAACUCACCACCGCCUUAUGCAAGUCUUGCGUAAUGAUAUCCCAUGUAAAGGUAAAGAAUCUACCUGUAAACCCAUCAGGACCAGCCGCACUCUCCCCAUCCAUAGUGAACACCAGAAGCCGAAUGGCCACUAUGUCAGGAGUCUCCUCCAACAAUGAAUUUUCUUCUCAUGUGACCAUUGUUGGGAUUAACUGCAAUAGCUCCCCCGGACUGGACUUCAUAGACCCUGAAAAAAGAUUCGAGAAAUACUCGAUUGCCUCCUUUGCUAUGUCAUCAUCCUUCUCUAGCCAAAUCCCAUUUGAAUUUUUCACCCUAUGUAUAGCUCCUUGUACUCUCUUUUGCUUGACAACCGCAUGAAAGUACCUUGUAUUGCUAUCCCCACUACUAAGCCAUUUAACCCUGGUUUUCUGCCUCCAAAAUUGUUGUUCAACUGCCAGUGCCCUAUUAAGCUCCGUCCGUGCCCUUUGAAGCUCAUCAUGUUCCUUCUCAGACUCAGAGUUUGCUAUGCCGUUCUCUAUCCUCAGAAGCUUGGCCUCCGCCUCUUUGACGGCAUUAAAAACGUUGCCAAAGUGAUGCUUAUUCCAUUGCUGAAUCACCCUCCGAGUUGCCAACAACUUAGCACACAAAACUCGUAGAGGUGAUCCCUGUACCACUUGGUCCCAAGUAACCCAAAUGACGUCUAAGAGAUCUAAUUUGAAUGCCCAUAUAUUCAAGAACCUGAAAAGUUGCAGCCCAUUAUCCAUUCUCGAAACAAAAGAAAGUUUCAUCGGGGUAUGAUCAGACGGAUGUCUCGCUAAAUGGACAACAGAAAUCAUCGAGGCCAAAUCUGUGCACUCUCCGUUAAUUAGGCAUCUAUCUAGCCUCUUCCAAAUCCUAACCCGUCCCCUCCGAUUAUUGCACCAUAUAAAUCUCGAUCCUGAAAAACCAACAUCGAAUAUCUCGACCUCUUCCAUGAAUGCCAAAAGCUCAAUUCCUUCGUCCAUAAAGAAUGGUCGCCCCCCUUAUUUUUCAUUAGCAUCUACAAUGACAUUGAAGUCUCCCCUAACACACCAAGGCAGAAAGCGGGGUUUAUCAGAUAAUAAAUUUUGCCAUAAAUCCCGCCGUCCCUCUACCGAACACAUAGCAUGGACAAAAUGAUAAGAUCAAGGGCCCUGGCAACCAUGGGUGUUGGAUAGACAGUGAAAUAUGCUGAUUAGAGUUACCGACUACCGAACAAAUAAACGGACAACUAUAGAAAAUCCAAAGAUCCUCCGAUAUGUUAACAAUGGCAUAAUCAAAUGAUAGCCUCAUGCGAAUAUACUCGACUCGAGAUACAUCUAAUUUUGGCUCAGAUAUUGCUACAAACUAGACAUCAUGCAAGCGAAUUAUUUUUUUCAAUCUUCUUAAAUUGGACGCUUUCAACACCCCUCUAAUAUUCCAUAACAGUGUAUUAAUCAUAACGUAAUACCUGGAAAGAGUUAUUGAGAGAAGUUGUGGACCGAAACUGUCUGUCAGCUUGAAGCUGAGCACGUAAUCCCUUUCCCCUUGCCUUCCUACCAUUCUUGGCAUUCCCACCAACCGAAUUGAUGUUUAACCCCAUAAGUGAGUUAUCCAAAUUCUCCUCUCGCAUGACCACCAACCUUGGCGAUAAAUUACCCGCCACCAGGGGCAAUUCAAUCACUAUCUCAUCGACGCUAACAUCACUGCCCUCCUUGUUUAGCUCCAUUGCUCUCGCCUCAUGCACUCCUAAGCCCUUUCAUCACCACCCCGCUCCAGUCUGCUAGCUGGUUGUCUCCACUCCUCCUCCACUGAACCAGUUAUCCCAUUCGAGGUACCAGGUUGCUCUUCCGCAGGUUGCUGAACCGGACAGCAUUGCUCCUGUGAAGCCGCAUCAGCAACCUCCUUCAAUGUCUCCUGCUCUGCAAUUUCAAGAUCACCUGCACCGAGCUGCUUAGCCACACCUCCAUGUUCCCUCACCUCCAUAUUCACUGCCUCGCUCUAUAUAGCUGCCCCUGCUGCCAUAUUCCCAUCCAGGCUGCCCAUGCAGCUUAUCUUAGCCCCAAUGCAUGGAACUGGAUCCUCCCCACCUGUACGUUCAAGCACCACUUCAGGCCCUGCAACUGGGUUUUGUUCGGCACGCACCCUCCAAUUUCGUCGGGUUUCCACAUUUACAAGCUGCUCCACCGAGUUCUUUCUGCACUCCUCCACUGCAUGGCCCAACCUCCAACAAGAGGAGCAAUAGGAAGGUAGCCCCUCAGGAACAAUUUUCUGCCAGAAAUCCAUCUCCCUUUCCACUGCUACCCACACCCUGGUGCAGAUAAGCUCCAGCAAGUCUAUCUCCACGCACACUCGUGCUACACUCGAACGCGAUGUAGCUGCCGUCGUCGAAUCUAGGAACAGAGGUUUCCCUACCGGUGAAGUGAUUGAAAAUAGCGAGUGCUUAUCAAAGAAGUGAAUGGGCAACGCAGGUAAAGAAACCCAGACCGGAACUAGCGACGACUCCUUAUGGACGUGAAAAUCUUUUGUCUAGUGGAAGACACGAAUAGGAAACUUCCCCAACUGCCAUAUACCUCGCGUCCAAAUUCUGUUGAAAUCCACUUCCGACGCACACCUGAGGAGAACAUGGCGAUAAUCUAACAAGCCAACAGAGAUUUGGUCUUUUGGAUUCAGCGUAGUAAAAAACUUGCGAAUUUUCAUCAAUGAAGGCCUUCCAUGAGAGAACUUUCUCACCAAUACCCAUCGAUAUGGUGCUGCCAGUUUUUCAGCAUCUUGUUUGGAGAAGACCACCGCUGCUUCUCCUUUGUAAGUCGUCACAAGUUUCACACGGAUGGGAGAAGAGGCAAGUUCAGUAAACAAUUGGGAAAAGGACUUUCGCGCUGAUGGAGACAGCCCUUGCCCCUCAGCCGAAGGCUGAAGGGCAGCCAUAACUCACGGGCAAGCCCUAUUUUUGACCAAAGAAAACUGGAAAAUGAAGAAUUGAUGCACUUGUUCCUCUCUCGGCUUCAAAGCUGGAUUUCCAGAUUGUUCUUAGUUCAAUACUAGCUGGAAUUGGUGAAAUGAGUAGCAGGCUGUCUCCCCAGCUUGUUAGUUCUCCUCUCUCGAUUUUUGCUUUAUGGAUUAAAUAGGAUUUGGAGAAGUUUUGGCUGAAAUAGAGUCACUCUCUCGGCUGACCAGGGAUAGGAGGAAAUGGGAUUACUUUUGCUCUCAAAACUCUCUCUUUCUCGGCUGGUCUUUUGGAGAUAGAAUGAAAUUGUUUUUGGGUGAAUGGUUUGAGUGUUAUGGCUGAAGGUUAGUGUUGUUAGUGAGAAGAUUAGCUGAAACAGAGGUUAUUGAGGCAUAUUAACAAACAUAAACAAGGCAAAACUUAAGUUCUUACGGUUCAUUAAGUUUGGACAGAUAUGAAAUCCCAAAUUUUACCAAUAACCAGAAAGAAUAGCUUUAAGAUCAAAACCUUUCUCUAAUCAAUUUCAUGAGUUAGCUAUUGGAGAAACUGUGUACUAGAUUUGGAAGGAAAGGAAUAGACACGUGUUUAAACUUCCGGGAAUAAGCACUGUUACUUUUAAAUAAUUUAACUCUCUGGCAUGUAUCAACAGACAAGUAUUGCAAAACCUUUAAUAUACAAAACUAAAUUUGUAUAAAUCUUUUUUUAAAAUUAAAUGAUAAGUGGGGCAGGUACCCGUUGAACCAAACCUAUCUCAACAAAUACCCGAUUAUCAGUUACUCGUUGAUAUGCCAGAUAGAUAAGGGUUAGAAAAUGGCAGAUCAGCAAAGUGUGGGUCGGCUCAACCAAAUGGUGCACGAGGUGGGUACUCGAUCCGUGCCCACCCUUGAUGGCAAUGGAUUGGAAAUUUCCUAACAACAAUAAAUAAACUUUUAUUUUGUAUUCAUGGGUAAGUAAUCCAAAAUCCAAUUGUAUAGCAAAGUAUGAGAAAAAGAAAAUAACAUCAUUGAUAUAACUUUAUUUUAAUUUAGUGUGUCUACUGAUAAGUGCAUAUUUUGUGCAUUUUAAGUGUGUUUUAUUAAUUAGUUUUGGUGUGUUUUCAUUAGUUUUAUAGCUUAUGAACUAAAUUUCUAGUGAAAAUAUGUAUUUUAUGGUUUAAGUGGUAAAAAUUGAAUUUCUAUGGAUUUUAAUGGUAAAAAUUUCAUGUUUUUAUAGGUUUAAUUAUUCAAUCAUCAAAUGGAGUGAGUUGAGAAGAUAAUUGGAUGAUUUUUGAUGAUUUGAAGAGGCUUUAAAAAUAAUAUGAAGUGCGAGAGACGAAAUGCAAUUAAGGGAGUUUUCCAGCUUUAACACCUUAUGGUAUUUCGAUUAUAUCUUGAGUUACAAGCAUUGAAUUGAGGUGAUUCUUAUUUCAUUUUGAAGUAAACAAAUUUUGGACUCUUAAGCAUUAUUUUGUGGGAAGCUUGUCAAUUAAAGAGGUAGUUCUCAUGCAUGGUUUCGACUAAGACAGUAAGACCGAUCACUUUACACAAGUCUCGUAGUUCUUUCUCCGUGUAGUUUGCAGAGUAAAGUCCAGCUCGUGGAAAUGGACUCCAGGAGCAUGCAACAUAGGACCAAACUACACAGAGAAAACAAAUCCUUCAGGAAAAUGUAACAUAGGACCCAAGAGCUAUUAAAAGAUAGUGUGAUAAGAGGUCUAGCCUCUCUCAUGUACUAUUUUUCAAAAUAAAACGAAUAAAUAAACAACAAACUUAGCUUAGGUCCUUAGGCUAGUAAUGUUGCUCUGUGAUUCUGUCCCGAUAUUACAUUUGAUAUAUGGAUGUGUACAAUCAGGGUAUAUAUUAUCGUAUUGAGUACCUGAAAUAUCCAUAAUUGUUGGAGAGAAAUUGCUUACUAUUGCAAACACGUAUAGUAUUUAGGGAUAACAUCAGACAACUCUCAAUAUCAUUUAGCACCCCUAGGGUUUUAAAAACAUUACUUCUCUCCCUUACUUUUGCUAUUUGUGUAACAAAAUUUUAAAGAUCCUAAGCUACCCUUUUGCUCAUUUUACUAAAUAAAAAUACUCCUAAACCACUUUGUUACUCCAAGAAAAAUAGUAAUCUAAAAAACAAUCUCUGGUAGUAUCAUCAUAUCACAAAGGUAUAGUCCAUAAAAAUAUUAAUUUGGAAAACAACAAGAUAUUUUUUCCAACCUCUUCUCAACUGGAGGUAUAAACCUUUAAGUUGUACUAAAUCAUUAUACAAAUUUAUUCAACAUAAACAAAGAAACCAUACCCCACUCUAUCAUAAUCAUAAGAAAAAGCAUAAAUAAAAUUUAAUUUACUAUAUUUACAAUAUUUAUGAAUUAAAAAUUGCAUAUUAUCUUAAAAAUGAAUAAGAGAAAAUGUUGAGAAAAGGGGAAAGAUAAGAAAGUGAAUUUUAUUUCUUUUUCUUUAAUUGUUUUGAGUUUCAUUUAUUUAAUUUAUAAAUUAUGUAUCCAAUGAGGGUUAAUAUAGCCAGUUUACAAUUACCAUGAAAGGCAAGUGAUAUUUUAAAAACCUCAAAAGUGCUAAUUAGGAGAAAUUUCAGGGAAGGUUUCUGAUCUUAUCCCUAGUAUUUAAGCUAAAUUAAAUUACAUAAAUGCCCUUUAAGAAUAAUGUUGCUCAUGCGUAUUUGAACAAGGCCAUGCACCCUCAAAAAAAAAGGGCAUGCAUACAUGUUCGAUGACAUGGCAGAUGUAUUGACGACUCAUUUAAUGACAUGGCAUGUGAAUUCAUAUUUAAUGUGGCAAAAGCUUAAUAAUGGCAUUGGGGCAAUUGGGAUCAGAACAUCAUAGACGUAUAGAUGCAGACACUGUUAUAGUUAAUGUAGACAUUAAUAUAAUAAGAUGAAAAAAUUUCUCCCACUGAAAUUUAUGCCUGAAAAUUUGUUGUGUUUUUAUAUGUUAUUGUGUUAGUAUCUAUAUUUAUUAUUUUAGUGCCUACAUCUGUUAUGUAUGUGAUUACGCUAUAAACCCUAUUGUCAUCAUUGGUAACAGCAGAAACCCCUUAGGUGGACAGUUGGUGCCAACGUGGACUUGCCAAGACAAGCCAUAAAAAUUAAAAUAUCCCCAAAAUGUACAAGGAAUGGUUAGACUUUGUCAAAAUCCAGAAUAUUUACCAGUGCAACUAGCUAAUCACUUUGGAUUUCCACAUGAAUUUGCUUUGUGUUUUCCUUCAAAAACAAUUCAAGUGGAUUCAUCUUUUUUGGGGAACACAUCUUCUAGAAUUCAAAAAAGAUUUUUCUCAAGGUUUGCAAUAUAGCCCAUUACCAUUAGAUCACAAUGAGAGUAGCAUAUAUCAAUGAAAUCAAAUAGGGCCAACAGCUUAAUUUCUUUCUUUUUUUUUUUUUGGAUAAACAGCGAGCAUGCAUUAAUAUCGAAAGAUUAAAACAGAAGGAAUGUAGUCGAAGCUUCAAAGUAGGCCGAAGACACCCAAAACCCAUUAUGUUAGAUUUCAGAGGUUUCCUUUCACAUAUGCACUUUACAAUUCCAGUUUCCUUUCCUCACUGAAUUGGGAAGCUCUCUCGAUCCCUGUUCAUGGAAUAAGUUCAAAGACAAGAAUGAGAUGUAAAAUGUAUGAAUGGCAUCUAUUGCUGGGAAACUGACUAGUCAAGUCAGUUAUCAGGCAUUUGGAUCUUGGCAUUGCAAGCAUGUUUUACGUUGCCUGUUAGAAACAACAUAUACAGCUGAGUGUUUUCUCAAUAACGUUUGGUGUACAACCAAACUUCCUCCAUUAGCUUCAAUUGCAAAUGCUCUUAUUUUACGUUUCCAAAUAUGUUUGUUGAAGUGGCAGAUGGAAAUUGAUAAGGUUUUUGGACACUGGUCGUUGUCGUUGGGGGGUAAUUCUAUCACUGUCGUUUGGGGGGUAAACUCAUCAGAAGUGAUAAUCUGUAACUGCUCCAUUUGGAUUAGCUUAUUUUUCAAAAACAAGUUUUUCAAAUACAAUGUUACAGUAAUACACAAAUAAAAAAUAACUUAAAAGUAUUUUAUACGUACAAAACAUCAAAAACAACUCACAAAUAUACACAAAAAAUUUUUAAUGUAUAAUGCUAUAGUAAAAUAUUUUAAAAACAUUCCAAAAAACAGUUAAUCCAAACCAUGUCACUUGUUAGACUUGUACGGGUGUUUAAUAUCUGCUUAGGUGGGCGAAACCUUCACAGCAUAGGGCAUAAGACUCACCAAUUUUGAGUUUUUUAAUAUUAAAAAGCAUAAAAAAUGUGUUAAUUUUAAAAAAAUUACAGUCAAUAAAUUAUAUACAUGUACACAAAUAUGCGUACACACGUAUUAUGUACACGCACACAUGCACUACUAUACACUACUAAUAAAUACAAAAAAUUUGAUAAAACUAAGAAAUAAAAUAUAACUAAAUAUUAUUCUCUAACGAGUACAAUCUUAUCAGAAUCAGCACAACCGUAAAUGUUUCAAACAAAUACAAAUCACAACAAGUAUCAAUAUGGAAUAGUAAUUUAAACUCACAAUCAAACAAAAUAUAACAAACUUACGCAAUAAAAUCAUGGACGACAAACUUAGACAAUAAACUUAAUAUCCUGAAUUUUAUUCUAUUUUUACUAGGAAUUAUGACCAUUGAAGUGUCCAAAUUAUAAGACUAAUGCUCAAUUGCUCACACCUGCAGCUUAUGCUCCGUUCAAAACAAAAUAAAAAAAAGGAUCAAGGUCUAAAGUCUAACCCGUACAUUAGUCAUCUAAUCAUAUUAGCAGAGAAUAAUCAUAUCUUGAUAUCAAUGGAAAAGGAAGAAAUGUAUGUUUGAAAGAAAAUUAGGUCUCAAUGAAGACUUAAAAAAAAAGGCCAAAAUGGCCCAAAUGUCCAGGCGCGUCCUCUACAGUCAAGGAAGAACACCCAACAAGACUUAUAGCACAAGCAAUUGCCUUGGGCCAUUUGAAGAAUGCCCCACUCCAGGGCUCACCCCAAUAAUGCAUUUUAAAAUGCUAAUCCGGAUAAAUUACAAGCUUGUCCAGUUUAACGCACCUUUGCUUUGCUUUCAAGAGCCAUAAGCUUUGACGGAACAAUGAUCCAUGUACUGUUAUAGGGCACUCAAUUUUCAAGAACUUCACUCAGUGUUUGACGAAUGAUGAAUUCACUGUCACUGGCGCAUCUCAAGUGAAUCCUGUUCCAUCUUUUGGAAUAUGCUUCAAUAUGUUGCUUGUAGAGCCAUGCACGAGCUAAAAGGAGCUGAGUACUUGGGUUUUGAGCUCGAUUUGAUUAUUUAAUGAGCCCAACUUGAGCUUGACCAAUAAGUCAAAUGAGUCUGAAAUUGUGUUUGAGUUUGACUGAUAAAAAAAAAAUUUCUGGGUUCAAGUCCAAACUCGAGCUUGAAAAAGCUCAAAUAAACCUGAAAGUUCUACACAAAAUUUCAACUUAACAAGUCCAAUUUAAUGAACCUACUGAAUAGGUAAAACACCAAAUAAAAGAAGGUACUUACAUGCUUAAUACAAUAUAUUUUCUAAACAACGAUAAUCUAAGUAUACAUAAUAACCAAAGCAAAUUAGAUAUACUAAGUCCAUCACACGUGUAAACGAGAGCUGAGUCAAGCCUGUUUCAUUUGCUAAACGAGCUUAAUUUUAUGUUCAAACUUGACUCAUUUAAUUAAACAAAUAAACCAAGCUCCAGUGAGGUUUCUCUCCAUUCUUCACCUGCAUUUAUGGUAAGAAACCAUGCUGAAAUGGUAAGAAAUAAAUCUAGAAUCGUUGUUAAUUAUAAACAAUUACAGCUGAACUUGCAAAUAGUUUCGUUCCUUUUAAGAGCUCUAGUUGCCUCCUUCAGUUCCCAAAGUCAGUACAGCUACUCUUGUGAAGCAAAACCGCGACACUACCGGGAGCGUUUACUGUUCAAAUUCCAUUGUCCAAGCUCCAAUGGUCUUGGGUGCAUAUCAGUUGAAGGAUCAGAUAUUUGAGUAUGAUCUGCUUAGGUCUCGGUUGGGUUUAAGGUUGACCCUAAAGGCUGAUUCCACUACCAGUGACAAGUUCAAAUUCGAUCCUACGCCAUAAGUUGGAUAACGACCAGAAUGAUUUGAUCAUUUUGCCAUGGAUAU